rnacentral:lncRNA from 1 species
CUGCUAUGUUAAUAGCUUGCUAGACCCUGCAAGAGCCUCCUGUAUGUGAUUAAAGUUCAAUUUAGAGAUUGAGAUAAAAUUAUUUAAGGUAAAUUACAUCUGUUUGAAAGUGAAACCAGUUUUUUUUUUUCAUGCAGGCUCUGUCAAUCAUAGCCAGGGGAGGUGUGCCUAGGGCUGCAUAAACAGAAACAAAGUGAUUUAACUCCUAAAUGGCAGUGAAUUGAGCAGUGAAAUUGCAGGGGAAUGAUCUAUACACUAACACUGCUUUAUUUAGCUAAAGUAAUUUAGGUGACUAUAGUGUUCCUUUAAAGACCAUAAGAUCUCAUUUAUUCAUUCCACUUCUACAUGUAUGUUUGGGAUACUGCCAUACAACUUUUUGAAUGGUUUUUCCUACAUAUACUUUUCAACAAGGACAUUUAAAAUGCAAUUCACAAAUGUAGAUUCCCAUAUAAAGAAAUCGUUGCAACGCCCUUGAACACUUAAGAUGAUACCUGUAGACGUGAACCUCUCCUUGCAAACCCACAUAGGGAACCACAGGGGAGUAGUAAUACUUACAGUGGGGGGAAAUUUAACUACUUCUGUAACUGAUUCCCACCUAUAUUAUUCUUCUACUUAUUAUUAUGUUAGAAACUUUCAAUGAAAAACUGAGUGUCAACGAGAAAAAAAAAAAAAAGCAACACUAACCACUCAGCUACAUUAUACAAUCACAAAUGUAUCCUUAGGUACAGUGAUUACAGCAUCGAGAUAGGAUUUGUGUCUUGCAUUGUUAUUUUUGUAAACAUUGAUACUUUGUCUAACUACUCUCCGUAAAAAAAAAAUGUUGUUUUAUUUUAUUUAUCUCUUUUGCUCUUUUAUUUCGUAUUGGUUUAUUGCCGUUAGAGAAUGCAGAAUGUAUUUCUCUGUCAUUUUUCUGAUCAUCCAUAAGGCCACAGGUAAAUAAAUCACUUCAUUUAACUAUUUAAGGGGGACCGAAUAACCUAAAUAGUUAGGGUCCCUUUAAGGCAGGCAGCGGAAAGUCGCAGUGUCGACGUUUCAGUCCACAGAAUGAGACUUAUCUCAGGACCAUGUAAUUUUUUUUUGGUUUCUAGCCAUCCACAAAAGCAUGCUAACACAUACAAUUGUGGUGUAACUUUUCUGUGUCACCAGUGUUUUGAUUGUAAAUUAUCCAGAUUGUUUCUGGGAACUUGCGACUAUUCAAAGAAAAUUUGUGGUCUCUUUUUUCCCCCCAAGGUUUUGUGAAUGCUAACUUUGAAGUCAAUUAGGUACAUUAAAAAGUAAUUUAAUCUAAUUUGUAAAUUGAUUGGUUUUUUUUUUGUUCCUGAAAUUACUUAUUAGAGCCAAGUUCUUCCAUGGAACACAAAUAUAAACAAAUGUAGUAGCUGUAAAUUCAGUGAAAUUGCAAUUUUGGGUUUUGGUACUGUGUAUCACGCACCUAUCUCAAAUGGUUUAUAUUAAGGUACAAUGUUCUUCAUAAUUUUUAAUGGAUUUUAAAAUAUUUGUGUUAAUUUGUCAAUCAAACGCAGUAAAGGUCUCAAAAAGCAACAAAUUAAGUACUUGUUAAGGCCGGUAAGGAAGACUGAGCUAAAUCAAUUUUCAUUCCAGCGUGUAUAAAUGCCGGGAGUUGGAUAAUUAUUCAGUCAAUAACGUAAUCUUCAAAGUUGAAGACAAAUGCCAAUAGUUAAUAUCCCUUGCAGUUUGCACACUUUUUAUCAAUAGUAUUUAUACUCCCUUCUAAAACUCAAACAGCUAAUUAAAAAUAAAUUCAUACUAAGGGAGCAAAACACACUGAGGAGGUGUACUGGGGAAAAAAAACAUUUAAUUAAGAGAUAUUAUUUUUAGAGAUGGAAAGAUUUAGAAACAAAUGGAAAACUCGAUGAAAAAAAUGGUUUUAUUACCUUUUUUCCCAAAAUAGUUUUUGCAAUUUUCCAGAAAUUAAAAAAAAAAAUAGAAUUCGGAACAUGUUCUGUUACAAUUAUAAAUAAUAUGUCUAUGACAUGGUAUUCAAACUAUAUAACAUAAAGACCUUCGUGAAAGACUUAUGAGACUUUAUGUAAAGUCUCAAAUCAUUGCAAGUUCUCCUUUACCUGAAGACAAGCAAAUCCUGGAAUACAAUUCAAAUACCGAGAAAGUGAUUCUCAAAUAAGAGCAAUAUGCAUUUCUGUCUCUUGGGGGACUGCAGGUGAAAAGCUUUCAGUUUCGUUUGGUUGAGGCCUGGUUCCAUCUUGCUGGUAUACAGAAGUUGUUUGUUGGUAUACAGUAGUUAAUUAUUAAUAAUAAUUUUUUUAAUUAAUUUUUCAGGGCAUUAUUUGCAUUUUAUUCAUCAUACAAACGCAACACUUUUGUUUUUGCCCCCAUUUUUCAUGAGCUGAACUCAAAGAUCUAAGACUUUUUCUAUGUACACAAAAGGCCUAUUUCUCUCAAAUGUUGUUUACAAAUCUGUUUAAAUCUGUGUUAGUGAGCACUUCUCCUUUGCUGAGUUAAUUAGAGUUGAGAGGACACCUGGAUGUUCGGGUCCGGCGGGUUCAGCCGAACUUUGAAAAAACGUCCGGGUUCGGGCUCGAACUUGACCCCGAACCCUAUUGAUGUCAAUGGGGACCGGAAUUUUUGGGCACAAAAAUGCCUCUAAAAAACUCCUGUAAAUGGCUAGAGAGCUGCAAAAGGAAGUAAAAUGAGGGUAAGAGUAGAACAAGUGCCCUGCAAACAAAUGUGGAUAGGGAAAUCACUUAAAAUAACACAUAAAAUUAAAAUACAGCUGCGCCAUAAAAUAGCACUACAUGGAAUCUUUGAUUUUAGCUUUGUAAGAACAUAAAUCAAAAUCUAAAGCAUGGCUGUCAGGUGGAUCACCAGAAUUAUCCAUUUGAGAGAGGGUUGGAGUGCAGGGUAUUCUCUUUCAUUGUUCAAACUGAGCUCAACUCCUGAUGCAUGGAGAAAAGGCCUUCACAAACCUCUGCUAUUGUGUACAUAGUUUAUACUAAGUGACCCAUAGGUUGAGGAGGCGGUGACCAUGGUGGUGUAGGUGGAAGCGGGGUUAAAGGAGGAGGAGGUAGCCAACACUGUUUUUUAGGUAUAUAUUUUUUUUAAUUGGGGUAGCCCCCAAAAUAUUGCUACAUAUAAAAAAAGACAACUCUGUUCCGCAGAGUAGCUGUUGACAUUAUAGUUGCGCAGGCACUUUGUUGACUCUAGAGAACCUCGGGCCAAUCGCACAUCCCCGUGAUGGCGACUUUGCAUUUGGAUGUCAUCCAUAUCAACUUUCGAUGCCAGUUUCUGUGCCUACCAUGGUGACCACGGGUAAUGGGGAGUCAGGGUUCCAUUCUGUACAGGGACCCUGAGAAAUGGCUACCACAUGCAAGGAAGGCAGCAGGCGCGCAAAUGACCCACUUCCGAUGCGGGAAGGUAGUGACGAAAAAUAACAAUACAGGACUCUUUAGAGGCCCUGUAAUUGUAAUGAGUCCACUUGAAAUCCUUUAACUUUGAUCAAUUGGAGGGAAGUCUGGUACAGAGCCACUGACCCAUGCAUGCUGCAGCUGAAACUCCACUAUCGCCUGCUGCUGCUCGCACAGUCUCAUGAGGCGGUGAGCGGGAAAGCCAAAGUUAUGCUGCAGUGCAGACAGGCGAGCAGCAGCAGGGUGCGAAUGCCAAAAGCGUGCACAGCAGCAACAGUGAAUGUCACAUCCUGUUCCAAGUUGCGGAUCAGUCUGGUGAUGGCUUCUGGUAUCCAGUACUCUUUUUACUGAAGCUGCAUCAGGAUCCUGGUAUGUGGCCGCACAAAUGCUGGUGCUCAACACCAAGGGGUGUGCGGUUACCCUGCACCAGAACCUGCUAAUCCAUUCCACACUGUGACUCCUAACUUCAACAUCAGGCAUACUGGGUCCCAGUCGUCCGACCGUCACCCAGACAGUGUCUGGGUCCUGGUUACCGGACUGCCCACCUGACUGUGAAACUACAAAUGGAUCGUUAAAUCUGGUACGAACCCAAACUUUGCAGUUCGGGUUCACUCAACUCUAUUAUGGAUCCUUUGAUCGCUACAUGUAUUACUUGGAUAACUGGUAAUUCUCGAGCUAAUACAUGCCGACGAGCGCUAGGGGAUGCUUUUACACCCUGCUCCCUCUAAUGCUGUGCUGGUGCCUCUGUGUGACCAGUGCCUCUUCCUCCAAACUGCACACAUCACUUGCAUGACCUUGAUUCCAUGUGGGGUCUAGGACCUCAUCAUCCUCCACACAGUCCUCAACCCUGCCCUCCUUGCCGGUAUGCACACUGCAGAAAGCCACAGUAGUUGGCACCUGUGUUUUUCCAGCAUGUAAAGUCUGCAAAGGACAUAUGGAAAUUGUUUUAGAAUUGUAUCCAGGCAACAGUUUUCCCUAUAAACUAACCUCUCAGUUUGACUUGUGAGGGUCUUGCCCCAGAAUUACAAUAUUGUUUAAGUACCUCUUAGCUAUUGAUAACUGGUUUAAAUAUAGCAGCUUGUUAUCUGGUAGUUUCUAGUGUAGAAAAUAUCAAUCUGUUUUCUAUCACGUAGAUCUGUGUAACAAGUGUUGUAGGUGUGAAACAAUAUUACAAGUGACCAAUGUAGUAAAUUCGAAUCAAAGUUACGCUUCGAUUUGACUCUCAGAUAUGACAUGAACACCCCAAAUAUACUAUUUAGCACCAAAAAAAAAAAUACUUUUUAAAACUCCAAUGUAAGCAGCAGAUUAGCAGUAAAACAAUUAGAAUGUUUGCAACUGCGCUGUAAGCGCACUAUUUGACGCUUCUGUUUGACUUUCAGAUAUGAAGUGCACCGCAGGCCGCAAAUGAACUAUUUAGCAGAUUUGCAGCAAAACAAUUAGAAUGUUUCCCACUGCGCUGUAAGCACACUAUUAGCUCAUCUGCAUGUUCGUCAUCCUCAUUGGGGUCUCGACCUAACUGUAGUUAGUCAUUGUAACUGACUUGAGUGGGCAAAUGCUCACAUUCGAUGGUGUCUGGCACUUUGGACAGGUGUUCUCUUCAUGGAUGAAUCCUGGUUUUCACUGUAUAGGGCAGAUGGCAGACAUCAUGUAUGAUGUCAACAUUGUGGAUCGAGUGGCCCAUGGUGGCGGUGGGGCUAUGGUAUGGGCAGGCGUAUGUUAUAGACAGUGAACACAGGUGCAUUUUAUUGAUGGCAUUUUGAAUGCACAGAGAUACCAUGACGGGAUCUUGAGGCCCAUUGCUGUGCCAUUCAUCCAUGACAAUCACCUCAUGUUGCAGCAUAAUAAUGCACGCCCUUGUGUUGGUAGGAUCUGUACACAGUUCCUGGAAGCUAAAAACAUCCCAGUUCUUGCAUGGCCAGCAUACUCAUCGGACAUGCCACCCAUUUAGCAUGUUUGGGAUGCUCUGGAUCGGCGUAGACAGCAUGUUCCAGGUCCUGCCAAUAUCCAGCAACUUCGCACAGUCAUUGAAGAGGAGUGGACCAACAUUCUACAGGCCACAAUCAACAGCCUGAUCAACUCUAUGCGAAGGAGAUGUGUUGCACUGCGUAAGACAAAUGGUGAUCACACCAGAUACUGACUGGUUUUCAGACCCGCCCGGACCCUCUCAAUACAGUAAAACCGCACAUUUUAGAGUUGCCUUUUAUUGUGGCCAUCCUAAGGCACACUUGUGCAAUAAUCAUACUGUCUAAUCAGCAUCCUUGUGAGGUGGAUAGAUUAUCUCGGCAAAGGAGAAGUGCUCACUUACACAGAUUUAAACAGAUUUGUGAACAAUAUUUGAGAGAAAUAGGCCUUUUGUGUACAUAGAAAAGGUCUUAGAUCUUUGAGUUCAGCUCAUGAAAAAUGGGGGCAAAAACAAAAGUGUUGCGUUUAUAAUUUUGCUGAUUGUAGAUACAAACAAGCUUAACAUGCCCCAACAAAAAAGCAUCAAGCAUGUCGCAAUCCAGGUGUUACAAGGUGUAAGGAAUUUAGAAAGACAUGCACAAUUUUAUAAAAUUAUGAAGACAAGCAUAAUGCGUCAGUAUAUGAGUAAACGACAGCAGUAACUGAAUCAGAGUAUACGGACUGACAGUAUGGUCAAUCAAAGCAGUGUAGUAUAACAUUGUAUUCAACAUAUUGUUAAGGCAGAUAAGCUGUAAUGCCAUUGGGUAUAUCAAAGGAAAGGUACAAAACAUUAAGAAACAAUGAGUAGAGUAGCAGAGAUCCCUAUAAUACUAGCUGAGCAGCUACCUAGGGGUAAUAACACAUAUCAGCCAGGCAUCAUCUGACACCAAGAGGCGGCCAUAACAAACAAUCAAUCUCUGUGUCAGGCUGUUAUCUAGAAGUAGAUCUCACACCAGGUUCUUUAUCGCAUCUUACUGAUUCAGAAGUGUAUGGGUUGUGCAGUGAAGUUUGUCGUCAUGUGAGGGUGACACCGCAAUGCCUCAACUCUCCACACCUAUGGCUCCAUGCCUUGAUAGGAGCCCUUGCCUCAUGUCUAUGGAUCCUCCCAUUCUCAGUGGCAGGAACGUGGGUCUUAUGCCGGACCUCCCUUCAGGUGUAUGGACUGCGCUGUGGAGUAAACUCCAGGUGGGCUCCCAGCCCCGAAGAAGAACGGGCAGCCGGGAUGGUAGUGCUGAACAUCCUCUCAGCACUAGUAGCUGACAGGUGAGAUAUUGCAUUUAUUCUAUGCUAGAAUGCCAUGCAAAUUGCCUCAAACCUGGCUUAAAAAGCCUCUCUCCAUUCUUGGUCCGCUAGGCCCAAUCGGCUCUGCUGCGAUUUCAGCUCAGUGGCCAUCUUGGUAGCGCUGUGCUGGGUGUGUGAGUGCCGCUUAGGGUCAACUGGAAAUGGGUCUGCUGCUUUAAGAAGGUAUGUUGCCCCAGUGGGGACCGAGAUAUUCCCCACCGGUGCAAAGGGGGUGUGACAGGGCUGCAGUGCAGUCACUGUGAGCAUGUAACUGCAGCCAGGGAAUCGGCCACCUCCCCAAGGGCCAGUCGCAGAGUGUGCCAGUCGGAGCAGUGUCAAGCUUAACAGUGUUUGUUUAGCUGAAGGUAGAUUCUGCUACUGAUUCUAGUGUGUUACCAGCCCUAGGACAGGUCAGAUCGACAUAUAAUAAGCUCAGAUUUGCUGUAUUUAUAAUGGGCGGUUGUGUUCGCUGGUUUUUUAUGUUGCUUUUCAGGAGAAGGGAGGGUUACCUUCAGCACUCAGAUGUUGUGGACUAGAUUUUGGCUGUAAGAGCAUUAUGAGAUGUAUAGUCCACAACAUCUGAAGGUUGCUUACCACUGAAGUAGACAGUGACAACAAGGUCCUUUAUGGACAUAGUACUUUGGAAUUCCUUUACACUAGGCACAUUGAAGAGAGGCCCCUAAAGCACUUUAGCUUGCUGAAAAGCCAAAUGUGUGAAGAGUGUUUCCUCUUUUUUUCAUUUUACAAAAACUGCAAAUUGCUAUUGAAAUUGACACUUUCAUAAAUUUACAUGGUUGUCAUUCAGACAACAGGUCAUUUUACUUCCUGGUUUGGUUAGAUCAGUGGAGCUGAGGUAGCAAUUGCUCACAGCACCUGCCUUGCAAGGACUUGCCAUUAAGUUGCAUUGGAAAGUCUUUGAUUGGACAGCUACAUAUAGUCUGAGCUGGGAUAGGAAGGGGAGGGCUUGCAAAGGCAGCAGAUAAGAGAACUGUUUUUAGAUUUGCCAACAAUUAAAAAAAUGCAUAUUUUAAUGCAUGCAUGUUUUUCAUUUGGGGUAUAUCUACUAAACAGUGACCUUUAUUUAUUAAUUGUAUUUGGGCAGUGGAGUUUCCCUUUAAAAGCCUAUGUUACACCAGAAAUGGGUGUUGUUAAAUAAUGAUACACAUAUUUCCCAAUGUUUCCCAACAUUUCAAAUGGACAAAGGGAGACACUAUAUUGGUAGGGGUAUAAGUAGGAGUGUGAAUAAGAUGCGAGGCUCUUCUAAGACAUUUUAGGUGACUUACUAAUUACAUAGUUACAUAGCUGAAAAGAGACUUGCAUCCAUAAAGUUCAGUCUUCCUCACAUAUGUUUUUACUGUUGAUCCAAAAGAAGGCAAAAAACCUAAUCUGAAGCACUUCCAAUUUUGCAACAAACUAGGAAAAAAAAUCUAUCUUGACCCAAAAAUAGCAGUCCAAUGUCUCCUUGGAUCAAGCAGCUAUUACCCCACUAAUUAGAAAUUAUAUCCCUGUUUGUUAUGUUUUUAAAGUAUUAAUCCAAUUGCAGUUUAAACAUCUGUAUGGACUCUGUUAAAACCACCUCUUCAGGAAGAGAAUUGCAUAUCCUUAUUGCUCUUAUUGUAAAACAACUUUUUUUUUUCUUAGAUGAAAUGUCCUUUCCUCCAGCCUAAAUGUGUGACCUCAUGUCCUAUGUAUAGCCGUAUUUAUGAAUAGAUUUCCAAAUAAUGGUUUGUACUGGCCCUGAAUAUAUUUGUAUAAUGUUAUCAUAUCCCCUCUUUUCCAAACUAAAUAGAUUUACAUUUUUUAACCUUUCUUCGUAACUAAAAUGCUCCAUUCCUUUUACCAAUUUUGUAGCUCGUCUCUGCACUCUUUCUAGUGCCAUGAUAUCCUUCUUUAGAACAGGUGCCCACAAUUGCACAGCAUAUUCAAGGUGUGGUCUUACCAGCAAUUUAAAAAGAGGCAAACUUGUACUUUCAUCCUGAGAAUUUAAGCCCCUAUUUAUACAUGACAAAACCUUACUGGCCUUAGCAACUGCAGAUUGACAUUGCAUAAUGCUGCCUAAUUUGUUGUCUAUAACAAUUCCCAAAUCCUUCUUGUGUGUGGUUAUCCCUAAUUAACUACCAUUUAGGGUGUAAGUUGCUUGUGCAUUCUUGACCCUGAAGUGCAUAACAUUGCAUUUCUCUACGUUAAAUUUCAUCUGCCAUUUUAGUGCCCAGUCCCCCAAUCUAUCCAAAUCCCUCUGCAGCAAAGCAAUAUCCUGCUCACAUUUUAUUACUUUACAAAGUUUUGUGUCAUCUGCAAACACUGAAACAUGGCUUUCAAUGCCUAUUUCAAGAUCAUUUGUAAAUAUGUAAAAUAGAAGUGUUCCCAAAACAGAAUCCUGAGGGACACCAAUUACCACUUUUGUCCAGCCUGAAAAUUUACCAUUAAAGACAACUCGUUGUACUCUAUCCUUAAGCCAAUGUUCUACCCAAGAACAAGAAUAGUCAUCUAGACCAAUUUCUUUUAGUUUGAAGGCUAACUUAAAGUGAGCAACCCUAUCAAAUGCCUUGACAAAAUCCAAGUAGAUCACAUCCACUGCAAUAUCCUGAUCUAUACUUCUACUUACUUCUUCGUGGGAUGCAAUUAGGUUAGUUUGACAUGACCUAUUUUUCAAAAAACCAUGCUGAUUAUUGCUAAUACAGUUCUUCCCAAUGAAUUCCUGAAAAUGAUCCCUUAAGAGCCCUUCAAAUAUUUUCCCAGUCGCAGAAGUUAAGCUCACAGGUCUAUAAUUUCCAGGCAAGGAUUGUGAACCCUUUUUAAAUAUAGGAGCGACAUCUGCCUUCCUCCAAUGCUCCGGUACAAUAUCUGAAACAAAAGAAUCUUGACAAAUUUAAUACAGAGGUUCACUUAUUUCCCCACUAAGCUCCUUAAGUACUCAUGGGUGAAUACCGUCAGGCCCCGGAGCUUUAUUUACAUAAAUUUUCUUUAACAGCUGAAGCACCUUGUCUCGAGUCAUCCAAUCACAAGUUAUCUGCAAAUUUUUUGCAGAAAUCAUUUGCAUUUCUCUUGCCAUAGGAUCCUCAUUAAUGACAAUUUAUAACAAUUUAUCUAACUAAAAUGUAAUUUAGAACAAGAACAUUAUAUUUACACAGACUGAUCUUUAAUGACACAUUACAUUACAGUGAGUAUUAUUGCUGUGGAGCUCUGUUAUUGUCAGGGUGGCGGUCCGGUGCCCGUGACCCAGACACUGUCCGGGUGGUGGGAGAGGACCGGGAUCCAGUAUGCCUGAUGAUAAGUGGGAGUCUUUAGCGUGAGAGUGGAUAGGUCAGGGUCUGGGGCUGGGUAACCGCACGCCCCCUGGUGUUGAGCACCAGCGUUUGUGCAGCCACAAACCAGAACCCUGAUGAAUCUUAUGUGGAUCCCAGGAACUAGGAAAUAAGCAGACCUCCCAGCAGCUGAAUAGGGAGGCUCUGCAGCAAGAAUGUAUCCAGUACAGAAACAAGGCAAGACUAGAGAUAGGCACCAUACAUUAAAACAAGACAAAACUAGGAGAACCCAGAACCAGAGCAGGACAGAAAGCAGAACCCAGAACAUGUACACAAGACAUGAGGAAAACAAGAACAGGGCCGGACAGGACUGUACAUGGACUGGGAAUACAAGACAAAAUAAAACAAGACAAGAGAUACAAGGUAAAACAAGAGGAGACAUAACUAAGCACUAUAUAUGAAAAGUAUGGGGAUUUAGUUACAUUAUAUGAUCAUACAUUGCACAAGCCUGCCACAACGCCAAUGUACCCCAUACAGGGAGUGCAGAAUUAUUAGGCAAAUGAGUAUUUUGACCACAUCAUCCUCUUUAUGCAUGUUGUCUUACUCCAAGCUGUAUAGGCUCGAAAGCCUACUACCAAUUAAGCAUAUUAGGUGAUUAGGUGUGGUCUAAUGACAUCAACACCCUAUAUUAGGUGUGCAUAAUUAUUAGGCAAAAUGGGUCAAAAGAAGGACUUGACAGUCUCAGAAAAGUCAAAAAUAGUGAGAUAUCUUGCAGAGGGAUGCAGCACUCUUAAAAUUGCAAAGCUUCUGAAGCGUGAUCAUCGAACAAUCAAGUUUCAUUCAAAAUAGUCAACAGGGUCGCAAGAAGCGUGUGGGAAAACCAAGGCGCAAAAUAACUGCCCAUGAACUGAGAAAAGUCAAGCGUGCAGCUGCCACGAUGCCACUUGCCACCAGUUUAGCCAUAUUUCAGAGCUGCAACAUCACUGGAGUGCCCAAAAGCACAAGGUGUGCAAUACUCAGAGACAUGGCCAAGGUAAGAAAGGCUGAAAGACGACCACCACUGAACAAGACACACAAGCUGAAACGUCAAGACUGGGCCAAGAAAUAUCUCAAGACUGAUUUUUCUAAGGUUUUAUGGACUGAUGAAAUGAGAGUGAGUCUUGAUGGGCCAGAUGGAUGGGCCCGUGGCUGGAUUGGUAAAGGGCAGAGAGCUCCAGUCCGACUCAGACGCCAGCAAGGUGGAGGUGGAGUACUGGUUUGGGCUGGUAUCAUCAAAGAUGAGCUUGUGGGGCCUUUUCGGGUUGAGGAUGGAGUCAAGCUCAACUCCCAGUCCUACUGCCAGUUCCUGGAAGACACCUUCUUCAAGCAGUGGUACAGGAAGAAGUCUGCAUCCUUCAAGAAAAACAUGAUUUUCAUGCAGGACAAUGCUCCAUCACACGCGUCCAAGUACUCCACAGCGUGGCUGGCAAGAAAGGGUAUAAAAGAAGGAAAUCUAAUGACAUGGCCUCCUUGUUCACCUGAUCUGAACCCCAUUGAGAACCUGUGGUCCAUCAUCAAAUGUGAGAUUUACAAGGAGGGAAAACAGUACACCUCUCUGAACAGUGUCUGGGAGGCUGUGGUUGCUGCUGCACGCAAUGUUGAUGGUGAACAGAUCAAAACACUGACAGAAUCCAUGGAUGGCAGGCUUUUGAGUGUCCUUGCAAAGAAAGGUGGCUAUAUUGGUCACUGAUUUGUUUUUGUUUUGUUUUUGAAUGUCAGAAAUGUAUAUUUGUGAAUGUUGAGAUGUUAUAUUGGUUUCACUGGUAAUAAUAAAUAAUUGAAAUGGGUAUAUAUUUGUUUUUUGUUAAGUUGCCUAAUAAUUAUGCACAGUAAUAGUCACCUGCACACACAGAUAUCCCCCUAACAUAGCUAUAACUAAAACAAACUAAAAACUACUUCCAAAAAUAUUCAGCUUUGAUAUUAAUGAGUUUUUUGGGUUCAUUGAGAACAUGGUUGUUGUUCAAUAAUAAAAUUAAUCCUCAAAAAUACAACUUGCCUAAUAAUUCUGCACUCCCUGUAUUCGGCAGGUCCUACACUGCCUAAUGUUCGCUUAAAGAACCACACUAAACCACACUUACCUGCAAGAAAGGGCAGAGACUUGAAACACUGCUGCAGGUCCAGACUGAAACAAAAGGAAAAUGGAAAACAAACAGGUGUGGCAACAUAAAACAAACAUUUAAAUGAAUCCAAGAGACGGGGAAAGCCAGGGACGAAACAUAAGAAUGAACCCAGAAACCCAGCAUAAAGAAAACCAGACAUAGAAUAGAAAACCAGAAAAACCAAGAAAAACUAAACAAGAAUUGUAAAAAGAGUACUGGAUACCAGAAGCCAUUGCCAGAAAGAUCCACAGCGAGGAACAGGAUGUGGCAGUUAUACACUCAGACACACCAACAAUAUGAAGCUUCAAGAAAAGAGGGACAUUAGGAUAAAAAUGAGGUACAGAGGGCUCAAAAUAGGGACUGUUCCUUCUAAAUAGAGACACUUGGGAGAUAUGGAUACAUUUUGUUUACCACUAAACAAGAAAUAAAACGUGCUACAUCCACCCAAUACCCUCCUGAAAAUUGCAUUUUGUACAUACGUGCUAGUGCAAAGGAAGUUUGGAAAAAUAACUAAAACCAUUUACUUGCUUCACUGAAUAACCAUAUACUUGUCAAAAUUACACCUUGUUUUUUUACUACCCUUUCUGAAUUACCUUUAAUUUUCUUCCAUUGUAGAAAUAGAAUUAAUUUAUUGCCCUAUUUAAUCUCUUUCUGAUGUAUAAUAUUUCACUUCCAUUUUUCAGAAUUUUAUAUCUGCCCAUUUACAACUUCAAUGUAUGGAAGAUUUUGUUUAUAAUACAAUAAAACCACAGCUUAGGAUAAGUGCAUAAUUUCUCAGUUUUUUUCCCCAUACAAUUUUUAAAACAUCACAAUAUAUCAUAGUUCACAGAACUGGGCAAGCAAUUAAUCAAAAUAAUUUACAUAAACUUCUACAAGGGACAUCGACUGCCUAUCUAAGUGAGCUUUGUUUUGCUAUUUUGUACUGUAGUGCUUUAUAAUUUUCUCCCGAAAAGAUACAAAUGAGAAUAAAAGUUUGUUACGAGUUAGGCCAUUUAUAGCAGAUUAGUUGAAUCUAAAAUACAACAUUUAAAUAAAAUGUAAAUUCCAAACAACUCUUCGUCACAUAAAAAAAAUUAUUUGUACUUGUUUUUCUUCUCUGUAUAGCUUUAGCUGUCAUUGUCUAUUUAAAAGUGACAAAGAGACAAAACCGGUGUCAGAAAAUAUCAAAGGCAACACAUUCGAUAGAGCAAAGUGUGAAAGAUAGCUGUCACGGUUCAGUAAACAGCAUUACAACUUGUGAUGGACAGUGCAAAAUGCGCCGGUCGAAAGAGUGAAUUAUAUAGUCAAAUAAACUAGAAAAGGGUCAAUAACCUGCUGUAUUAAUGCCGUAUUUGUGAGGUGCAUUGAGUGGCAUUGUAGUUUGGAAUUGGGAAAACAAAGUGAAGUUUUAUUAAUGCAACAUACAUCAUACUGAACAUAAACAAGUCAGCUUCUACAAAAGUCUAAAAAAAAUAAACUUAGAAGCAUCAGGGAGCACAAUAACCUUUAAAAAAACAAAUAAAAAAUUAGAACCAAUUUAACGUAAAGUCUAUCAUAUGAAAUGCCAAUGCAUAUUUGUUUUCAUUUCUGAAGAAAACUGAUGCUCCCAGAAGAUCAUAUAGAAACAUGUUUUCUUGGAAAAAACUAUUCUUCAUUGCUAUGGUGCCUGUAAGUCUAAGACUGGUGGUGGUGGGCUCAAUUCCCUGUUGGCUCCAGAAACAUAAUGAUAAAUAGUAAAUAAAGUAAACAUAAAAAAUAUAUAUAUAUUAUAUAUGUGUAUCAGUAUAAAUGAAAUCCAGAAAAAUGCUCACCUUAUUUAGAGCCUUUUUAACUGGCUCUAAGUCCGAACUAAAUGUAGUAUUUUAAAAUACCAAUGUGUAUCAGUAUAAAUGAAAUCCAGAAAAGUGUUCACCUUAUUUAGAGCCUUUUUAACUGGCUCUAAGUGAACUAAAUGUAGUAUUUUAAAAUACCAAUGUGUAUCAGUAUAAAUGGAAUCCAGAAAAGUGCUCACCUUAUUUAGAGCCUUUUAAACUUUACAUACGCAGCUUAGCCAGUAAGAGAUCACUGGGAGCUGAGCAACUAAAAUGGUUCCCUCCCACACCCGAUCAUUGUCCUCUGUGAAGCCGUCUUUGAAAACAAACUUAAUGAUGCUAAGUAGAAAGGGGUAGAUGAUAAAGGGGAAUGGAGGGGAUGUGGGUCAAAGUUAUGUCAGCAAAGCAACUUACCUUGCUCUCUUAAUGGCUGAGUUGCACACAUGGUAAAGUUCUAAUCAGAACUAUACGAGAAUUCUAUUAGAGCAUGUUGCUAAAUAAAUUAUGAUAUGUGACAAGUUAACUUUUCGUGUAGGAUAUUUACUGUGGGUGACAUCAAAUGUACCCACAGCCUGUCGUAGCACCAAGGGGGGACAGUGUGGCCUCUCCAAGGGACACUAGGGAAGUCCCUUAGAACACCUUCCCUCUCUUACUCUUUGGACAGCAAGUAAGCAAGAGGUGAGGUAAAGACAGUAAAUGUGGAAAUUGUGAGUGUCUGUAUGAAUUCCUGUGGAUGAGUGUGAGGGAAAAAGUAGAAACAAACCUUAAUCCUCAGCUUUGAUUCCUAUUCCACCACACUUUUGUCAACUUUAUUUAGACCUAACCUAUUGAUUCUUCAGAUUACAGAUACAGAAACUCUCCUCAUACCUCUUAAACACUAGAUGAACCUUACAUGCCCACUUCACUUGUUAACCACGGUAGUACUGAAUGCUAGACGUGGUAUGAAGAAGUGGAUUAACUAUACCAUUUACUAGCUUUAAAUGACAGCAUACUACUGGUCAGUUUUGUAUGUGAGCUUCAUAUAGUUAAAGAAGGACUGUUAACCACCUUCAUUACAUCCAACAGACAGCCAAAAGCUGUUUGUCUGAGUUAAGCCUGGGUUUGCAGGGCGUACCUCAUUGGUUAAGAGUAAUCAGUUAAUGCUUCCAAGCUUCCAACUAUCUGUUGUUAGUAGUUGAGAUGAGGAGCAAUGCCCUGGUGGACUCAACGUAAGUUGUCUAAAAUGGUUUGAUUACAUACAAUGGGUGGCCAUCAUGGCACUACGGGCACCACAUCCACUGCAGGAAUUGUUCCUUUAAGUUAAAUUUUUGUAUAUCUGCAUAUUUGCAUUUUCAACAAACAAUAUGAAAUGGGCAAGAUGGCUUUCACGCUAGGAACAUAUUUCACAAGCAUUCUGCAAACGGUAUUUGUUUAGGAGACCAACAAUUCGUAAGUUGUCAGGCACAUGCUUCUGAAAUCUCUAUAAAUGCAGCUGAUCAGCAUCCUCUCCAAACUCAGUUAAUGAGUUUAUUGCCUGUUUAUAAAAUGUCGACCAGCAGAGGUGACCUAUUGAUGUCUGGAUUUAUUGCAGUCACACGUAAUGUAAGCAGUAAUUGUUAGUGACAUAUUCUAUUAUGGUUAACAUUGAAUUUUCAUCUACUAGUUUUUUUUUUAAAAUGUCUCUUAGAUCCCAUGGGAUAUGUGAGCUGAAAUGAUCAAGAAUUAAAUAUUUCACAGAGUAGAAUGCCACAAACGGAAUUUCAUAACCAUAAAUGUAUUGAAUGAUUUGUAUUCGAACAAACAGUAUUUGAUCAUUAGUGAUGGGAGUACCAUAUGUUUGCCUUAUGCGUUGAUCAACAUCCCACCACCUAGGAUAAGCUUAACGUGAUUACGUUAGUGGACAAGGAAGAGAGAGAAGAUAACACAAUACGUUAAAAAGGAGACAUGAAAACUGACAGAAAUAUAAUAAGAAGCUAUAGAAAGAAUAAGAAAAAUGGAUCAGCGUAAGAAAAUGUGAGUGAGGAGAGAUUGAUGAGAAAUAGAUGAAACCUUAAGAAAUGAAUGGGAAAUAAAUGUCUGUAUAAGGAUGAACAGUGCACAUAAAUAGGCCAGACCCCUCCAAAAUUAUAAUGUUAACCUUUACACUGGUGAUGAGGGCAGUAACUUAAGGUGCUUUAAUUUAGGCAAUAUUGUCUAUAAGGUAUUCUAAAGCAUGCCCAGACUGAUGUGUAGUGUAAACUAUACAAGAGAAAUAACAGACACAUAGUAAUAUCUUUAUUAUACACAUUAUUUCCCCAAAGCCACAUUCUUCUCAUGUCAGGUAUGUGCAAAUCCCAUGCAAGUCUCGAGAGAUGUGACCAACCAAAAAGACGUCUAAUUGUAAAUAGUUUUAAGGCAAUCUUAUUAUCUACAUCUUGUGAGUUCUACUUAUAUUGGCACAAAUUUAUUGUUUAUUUACAGUAUUAUACUAUUGUAUUGCGUUUUUUUCUGUAGACUAUCAGCUAUGCUCCUCUGCCAUUUAUAUAUACAUUCUACUUGUACGAGAUAAUUUCUGGAAAAUCCCGAAAGGAAGCUGUUUCAUUAUUACGAUCAGUCAUUAAUUUUGUACAGUUAUAUAUAGAGGUGUGGGUUUAACACACUUUGUUGCUUUUCUGUCACUUAUUGUUAACAUUCACAGGCUUUCAGCUGUUUGCAGUGAACAAAUCACACAAAAGUAAUUAAAAUAGCUUAACACAAAAAAAUGCUUUAAGUGGCUUCCCCAAAUUCAACUGAAAAUGCAACGUAUAAUGACUUCUUCAGUCUCAAAAUUAUGCUGAAAAGCUGUACAUUUUGACAAUAAACAUGAUUAUCAAUGGGUGUUGAAUAAUUUUGAUUACAACUGUAGCAUGUGCUAUGCACCUAUUAAAAUGCACCUGCUAAAUGGAAUUAAUUCCCCAAACAUAUAUUUUCAGUGUAAUAAAUAGGCUUUGGAUUCAAUAUUCAAAACAAUAUUUUUUACUCCCACUAAGCAUUCAACAGUAGCUCUAAAGGGACACUAUAGUCACCUGAACAACUUUAGCUUAAUGAAGCAGUUUUGGUGUAUAGAACAUGCCCCUGCAGCCUCACUGCUCAAUCCUCUGCCAUUUAGGAGUUAAAUCCCUUUGUUUAUGAACCCUAGUCACACCUCCCUGCAUGUGACUUGCACAGCCUUCCAUAAACACUUCCUGUAAAGAGAGCCCUAUUUAGGCUUUCUUUAUUGCAAGUUCUGUUUAAUUAAGAUUUUCUUAUCCCCUGCUAUGUUAAUAGCUUGCUAGACCCUGCAAGAGCCUCCUGUAUGUGAUUAAAGUUCAAUUUAGAGAUUGAGAUACAAUUAUUUAAGGUAAAUUACAUCUGUUUGAAAGUGAAAACAGUUUUUUUUUUCAUGCAGGCUCUGUCAAUCAUAGCCAGGGAGGUGUGGCUAGGGCUGCAUAAACAGAAACAAAGUGAUUUAACUCCUAAAUGACAGUGAAUUGAGCAGUGAAAUUGCAGGGGAAUGAUCUAUACACUAAAACUGCUUUAUUUAACUAAAGUAAUUUAGGUGACUAUAGUGUUCCUUUAAAUCCAUCUGAACUGUUAAAAGGGCUUAUUGGGAGCAGAAAAACUGCAAUACAUGUGAUCGGCUCAUAUGCAAUCAAGGCCAUAGUUUUAUGAGACUGAUGGCUACCUACCUGUAUUGCAAUAGUAUUAAUUAAUUGGAUUAAUGAAAUAAUGAAUGGCUGCUCCAGAUCAGUGCUCCUCAACCCUCUCCUCAAGGCACACCUAACAGUCCAGUAUUUAAGGAUCACCAGGUUGUGUCUGAGGUGUUUAAAACAAACAAACAAACAAAAACCUAAAAAUACCUUACACCAGGGGUCCUCAAACUCUGGCCCCCCAGAUGUUGCUGAACUACAACUCCCAUGAUUCUCUGGCUAGCUAUGUAAUUCAAAGAAUCAUGGGAGUUGUAGUUCAGCAACAUCUGGAGGGCCGGAGUUUGAGGACCCCUGCCUUACACUCUAAGUCUAAGGUGUUUAUUUUUUAAUUUUUCUAAACACCUUAGACACACCCUAAACUGGACUGUUAAUGAGCCUUGUGGAGAGAGUUGAGGAGCACUGCUGCAGAUUAUAAGUGAAAUAUAAUUGAGGAUACCUGAUAAAUAAAGACUUGGUGCUACGUUAAAGAUGCAGUAAAGAACAGAAACAUUACAAUAUUAUUAAUAUUUAUUUUCAAUGUUAAUGUUGUGAAUAUUAAGGGGGAAAAAAAUAGCCCAAUUUAUUAUUUUUAGAUAAACUUUUCAAAUGAUUAAUCUACAAAAGCUUCCCAUAGUCUUUAAUUUCUGACUUUCGUAGAAAGAUUAUUUCAAAGGUUUUUCUAACAGAUUGGGAUCAUUUGAAAAGUGUAUCCAAAAAUAUGAAAUCUAUGCCAUUCUAUGAUAACCUGUCAACAGAGACCAUUCCAUACUUUAGGAAUAAUCUAUGUCGCAAGGUGUGCAACUGCGCAUGAAUUUACCUAAUUUUUUUCAGGGCAUAGCAGACUCCUGCUGGUGGGUGGUGGUAUGGGGCAGGGUUGAUUAACAUAUAUAUAAAAUAUAUAGAUAAAAUAUCUGAUAAUAGAAAAUAAAAUAAUAAAGAAAUGAGUAAAUUAGGUAUUAUGUGAUUAGGAAUUAUGAAAGUUAUGUAGGACUAAGAAAAUCUGAAUGAUAAUGUAAGGUGAUCCUUCAUUCACUACACAGUCUGAAGCACUGGGACAUGGAAAUCUCAGCAGAUAAAUCUUGAAUGUGAUGAAUACUCUUGAAUAAACAUAACAUUAUAAGACAAAAUUGUAACCUUUACCGACACUUUACCUAACAUGGAGUAAUUGUGUGAAAUUGAUUCAAUGCAAUUAAAGUAACUGGUGGUAUAACAGUUUGUUAAAGGGACACUCCACUGCCCAAAUUCAAAAUAAAUAAAAAUCACUGUUUAGAAGAUAUACCCCAAAUGAAAACAUGCGUGCAUUUAAUUAUCCAUUUUUUUCAUUCGGAGUAUAUCUAAAAACUGCUUACAAAAUCUGCGGUUCUCUUGUCUGCUGCCCUUGCAAGCCCUCCCCUUCUAAUUCCGCUCAGACUUUCUGUGGUUGUCCAAUCAUAGACUUCCCAAUGCUGCUCAAUAAAAGUAUUUGCAAGGCAGGUGCCCUGGGCAAUUGCUGCAUUGAGUUUAGCUCCACUGAGCCAAGCUAACCAGAAAGUAGCAGGACGUAUUGUCUGCUUGUAAGCCAAGAUUGUGUAACCAGGUGAAUUUAUAAAAGUGUCCAUUGCUAUUGAAAUAUGCACUUUUUACAAAAUGAAACAAAGAGGACACUCUUUAGGAGUCUGGAGUGCCCCUUUAAGUACCUAAGGCCACAUGACUCAAAAUACCAAUUUCAAAUUAAAUUAAAUGAAACCAAAGACUGUCCACUCCUUCCAGAGCAGAUACAAGAUAUUUUUUUAACAACAUGAAUAUAUUAUGUGGAUCUAUAUAUGCAAAGUACUCACUGUCCUAAAUGGUCAUCUCCAAGGUGCAUCAUUCAGGAAAAAAAACGUUAAAAAACCAAACAUUAACAUAAGGGAUUCUUGCACUAAAAAUUGGAAUGACAUUAUGAUAGUUAAAAAACAUAUUUAAUCCAAAAUACAAAACAAAAAUUUAAAAAAAUGCAAAAUGUAAGGUAGGCAGUAAAUACAAAUAUAUUAAAAUGUUUUCUGAGUGGGGGGGAUAAUGUAGGACAGACACAUGCCCACCAGGCCAGACGUAAUCAACGUUCACUGCUACUGAAGAAGCAUUGAUCUAGACGUCAAAUGCACAUCUUUUGCUAUAUUUUUUAUUUUUGUAAAAAACUAAAAACAUUCCUUCCAUACAGAGAUGUAACAGUGUUUUGUAAGGUAAGGUGUUUCACAAUGUAAAGGUAAAAAGAAUACUUAAUAAUUUAAGAUGACAAUGAAUAAAAUUCCAAGUGCAUACUCUUUGGCACACAAUUCUUUAGAUAAUAUUAUACGAAAGCAUUAGCUAAAAAGAAAAAUGUUAUGUAUUAGUAGGAAAAGUUAAGAAUACGGAACUUUGGAAAAGAAAAAAUAACAAAUAGGCGUUUAAGAUUUGUAAAAUAAAAUAGAAGGGCACCACAAUGGUCAGGUAGGGCGACAUCUCCGUCAUAGACUUGUAUCAUGCCAUGGAAGCCAAAUGUGUUUUUCUUAAGUUGUGUCCCUCAGUCUUACAUCUUCCACUGAACUGUUGUGGGAAACCUUGUGGAUAAGUUGUUAAUAGGUAGGUACGUUAGAGUUCCAGUGUUUUGCAUCGAUGAUGUGUGGAGCUGCAUAGACUCUAUGUACUAGUUUCAAUGCAUAUUUGGGAAGUUUGAUGUGGGUAGGUUUACCCAAUAAUAGGGCAACCUUGAGGUCAGACUCAAAAUCAAUAACCAAAACAUUUCCUAACAAGUGAAAGAGUGCACACAGCCACCAGGCGUGGUAAUAUGAACCAACCCUUACCACAAGCUCUAUAGCAAAGUGGGUAAUGGGAGGGAUACAUUUUACUCAAGGGUGAAGGUAUCAGCAUAACAUCUUGCACUUAGUGGUAUGUUUUUUUAGCUACCAUGAUGUUGUUCCCAUUUUGAGUGCAAGGAUCCUGUUGUAACUUUCCCUGUGUGAAAACACCUGCUAUGCGAUGCUAUGGACUUGUUAGUUCUACCCUGCUGACGUUUCUCCACAGAAAGCAUUGGGAAGCAACAAAUUCAGGCAGACACAAGGGAGAUACCAGAUCAUCUAUGUGAAACUUUUCCAAAUUAAGUGAUUGACCUUCAGUAGAGAAAUAUAUGGCUUAUGACUUAUUCUUGAACUUUACAUGUGACCUCUGUGAUACAGAAAGAUCAGGGUUAAAUGACUUAUAACCAGUUGCUAAAUUGAAUCUGUGACUUCUGUAUAUAAUUAAACUUAAGGCGAAAUAGUUUAUGACCAAUACCCAAACAGAGCAUUUAACCUCUGCCUUAGAGUAAGCUAUUCAGAAUCUAGACUGAGCAUGUAAAGCUGCACACAAAUACAGAGACCGCAAACAUUGAAUUUGUUCUACCAAUUACCUAUCUUCUCAUUCUGCUCAUUCCUCUGUAGUAACAGGAAAUGAAAACAUUACAGGCAGUGACAAAGCAAAAUAUAACAGCAAUGAAAGCAUGAGAAACAUUUGGUUGAAAAAAUCUAAUUUGCAAAAAGCAAGGAAAGAAAGUAGUCUGCAUUGAUGACAAACGACAAGAGACAGAAGUUGCCAAGAAGACGAUGUGCUAAUUGGCGCAAUAAAUAUCACCAUUGCCUGGUAACAUUGUAAAGUAUAGCAAGCAGAGGUUUAUCAGAUGUAUGAUAGUGAGGAAAAGCCAUAAAAAAGCUCAAUGUGAGAGAACAGCUAAUGCAAAACCCAAAAUAAAAUGUAGGCUUAAUAAAUAAAGUGUUGUGUCACAUCAUGCUGUUAUGUACUAUGUGUUAGAGGAAUACACGUAACUAUGAUUGUUGCACAAAACUAUGAAGUGCUAAAGCAUCAUUAACCCCUUAGGGACACAGCUUCAGAAGAAAAGAUCCACAUGAUGGAAAAUUUCCGUCAUGUGUUCUUAUGGGGUUCAUGAAUCCCACCCCACACUCAAAGCCAGAGUCUUCUAUAAUGCUAGCAUGAACAGAUUUACAGAGUGGCAACUCGAGCAGUAGCUCUAGGCCCAUGCUUUAACAUAAGUCCAAAGCAGCCACAACAUAAAUAUUAUUUUUAUCCCAUGUAUUUAGUAUAAAAAAAAGGCUGCAAAGACUACAGUGCAGCUCCACUCAACUUGUGAAUACAAGACAGGUUGAAACAGAGACAUGAUUUGCAGCCCCACUGAGAACUCCUGAACUGUUCUAAGCAUGUACUAAAUGCCCUGAAACUAACUCCCAAGAUGCACUAGCACAGUACUUGCUGGGGACAAUUCCCAAGUAUUUCCACAUGUAGAUAUGGACAACCCCAGGAAGACAGGACAGGACCUCGAAUCUGUGACUGUCCCACCAAACCAGAGACGGUUGAAAGGCAUGAUAAUGUAAAGAAGUUGCACAACAGUAUACAUGAGAAUUUAUAUAUAUUUGAAAGAAACCCAAUUAAGAAGAAAAUGAAAUAAUAAAACUUCAGGUAACAAAAGAAAGGUCAGUUUGUCUUCUCCCUGUGGAAAUCAACCUCAGAAUAACGGUAUGUUAUUAUCCAGUAACAUUUUCUUGCCUCAUCAGUGAAAUGCGUUUACAUGAGCAUGUGUUCUUUCUAUCUUCCAAAUUCACGAAAAACUAUAGGAAAUUAUAUUUUGUUUUAAGUAGUAAAAAUUGACUAACAAGUCUCAAAGGGUUAAUUGUCUGGCAUUCAUGAGAGCUGCUUCACAUUUGUAAACUAUAAAUUAUAAUUACCUUAUCAGUUCUUCAUAAUUCCCACUUUAGUGAAUAAAACCCUUUCGUGCAUUUUGGGGACGGUGGUUAUGACAGCUUCCAAAUCAAUCUGCGAAAUGGCAUUUUAAACAACAUAGCGUUUUUUGUUUUUUGUUUUUUGUUAUCUAAUAAAAGCAGCUGAUGCAGGUUUUGCAAAAGAAAAAAAAAAAACAUAAAAUUCAUAUCUAGCUGAUUGCAUUAUAUUCUUUUGUCCUUCAAUUAUAGUAAACACAAUUGAUUCCUGCCCUUUGUUUCCCCUUCCCUGUUUUUGGAUAGUUUAAUGCUUAAAGAUUUGAGAAAAUGUUCACUAAAUACAGGGAUUAGCUAUUUUUCAAAAGCUAACAGUGCCACCUACUGUCUCUUUAGAAGAUCUGCGUUAUCAUACAGCACUGGAAGUGAAAUCAAUGUUAGAUACUACAUGUGCACAAUCAGUGCUACACACAUUUUUUUGAAAGACCAAACAAACGUUUCAGAUUCCCCUUUAUCAAUGCCAGGACAUUUCUGACAUUGAUGAAGGGGAAACCCAAACCGUUUGUUGUUUGGUCCUUCGUUAAAUUGUAUGUAGCAAUGGUUGUGCACAUUUGGUAUCAUUUAGUAUCUAGUUGGGCUUCCUUAAUUUUUUACUUUAGUCAUUUGGAUUUAAACCUGAUUUGAGCAACAGAGUGCACGGUCAGUAGCACAGAGUUAUUCACAUUGUAUUUUUUUUAUUUUUUGGGGGUACUGCAGUAACCCAUUCACUCAUAUGGCCACUAGAGGCGUUUCCUAGUCCUACGAUGAGCGUCUCCAAACCCUGCAUGGAGGCGCUGAACUCCCUGUAGAGAUGCUUUGAUUCAAUGCAUUCUAUUAGGAGAUGCUGUUUGCUGAAGCGCAGAAUUUUGCAGCGCACGCGCAAUAGCUUCUCAAUGCUUUCUUAUGGGAUAGCAUUGGAUUGGCUGAGAUCACCAAGACUGAUGAUCUCAGCUAUGGAGGCGGGGCUAACACUGGCGAGACUAGUGCUGAGGUAGGGAAAAGGUGAUUAAACUACCUUUAAUCGCCACAGAGACGGGGGCCAGGGAACGGAUGUAUUCCAGCACGAUAGUGUCAGUAAUACAUGUUUGUUUAACUCUAAGUCUUCAGAGUGCCAGACUUUGUCCUCCCACAUUUGUAGACGUUACUCACAGAUUCCUCUUAGCAUGGAGAAUGAUGCGUGCUCCUCCCUCUUAUCCACUUGAUUAACCUUACAAGUCAUUUCUACUUGCCAUCUCCAAGACUACCGAAUAUUCGUAGCGGUAGCAGCAUUUUAAAGGGGAUUAGUUAUUGUCUUUUUUUAAAGGAACACUAUAGGGUCAGAAACACAAAAGUGUAUCCCUGCACCUAUAGUGUUAAAAUUACAAUUUAGCCCCAUGGCUUCCCCUUGCUCCCCUUAAAAAGCUUUAAAACUCAUAUUAUUUCCGGGGCCACGUGGAUCUGCUGGUGAUGGCCUACCCGAUUCGCCUCCUUUGCUGACAUCAUCAGAAUUGAUGAUCUCAGCCAAUUAAAAGCUAUCUCAUAGGAAAAGCAUCAGAUAGGUUGAGUACGUCAAGGAGGAGGGGCGGGGGCACGGCCAAACACUGCCCUGGCGAAUCAGCAUCUCCUCAGAGAGAUGCAUUGAAUCUAUGCAUCUUUAUGGGGAAAGUUCAGCGUCUACAUGCAGAGUGUGAAAAUGUUGAACAUCAGUGCUGCAGUGGCCCAGGAAGCAUCUCUAGUGGCCAUCUGAGGAGUUGCCACUGGAGUUGUUCCUAGGCUGUAAUGUAAACACCUCCUUUUCUCUGAAGAUGUAGUGUUUACAGCGAAAAUCCUGCAGGGACAGGCUAUAGACACCAGAACAUCUACAUUGUGUUGUACUUGUUCUGGUGACUAUAGUGUCCCUUUUAGCCCUACAAAUGCUUUAUUUAUGACCUGAUUGUUGUUUCUGGUAUGGCAGAAAAGGUAUUGUUUGUCCACGUUAAUAUAAAUGCAUUUGAUGCCAGUUAGUCCUAAAAAGUAAUAAAACAUUAGCUUCAGUUGAGGAUCUGCAGCUGGAAACAGAUCCACUUGGGCUAUUGGCUAUAUUAUAUUGGCUAUCUCAGGGUGGACCUACCCAACAGUUACCUUCUCUCUACAGAUAUAUAGUGUGCAUGUUCUCAGCAGAUAUGCAGCUCUCCUAGUCCAUCCUUAAAGCAGCCAUCUCUAUAAACAUAUAACAAUAUCUUCAGGGCAAUUGCCCUUAUGUUUCAUGGGUAUGCAGCUUUCAAAUGCUGCUAAAGGAAAAUGAAUUACCAAUGUGUAUUUUAUCUUCAUUCUCCUCUUCCUUUAUUUUAUUGUCCAUGUUUGAUAAUGUAACAAUGUAAUAUUUGCACUGAUCAGGCACAACAUUAAAACCACUGGUGGGUGAAGUGAAUAACAUUGAUUAAAUCGUUACACUUGCACCUGUCAAGGGGUGGGAUAUAUUAGUUAGCAAGUGAACAGUCAGUUCUUGAAUUUCAUGUGUUGGAAGCAGGAAAAAUGGGCAAGCGAAAAGAUCUGUAUGGCUUUGAGGUGGGCCAGUUAGUGAUGGCUAGAUGGGUCAGAGUGUCUCCAAAAGACUUGUGGGGUGUAACCAGGAAGCAGUGGUUAGUACCUACCAAAAGUGGUGUAUAGAAGGAAAACAGGUGAACCAGCAUCAGGGUCAUGGGCAUCCAAGGCUCAUUGAUGCACGUGGGGAGUGAAAGCUAGCCAAUUCACAAAGAAGAGCUACUGUAGCUCAGAUUGCUGAAAACCUUAAUGGUGGCCGUAAUAGAAUGGCAUCAGAAAAUGCAGUGCAUUCAAGUGUGCUGUAUAUGGGCAUGUGUAGCCACAGGCCAUUCAGAGUAUCCAUGAUGACUCCUGUCCAAUGCCAAAAACACCUUCAAUGGAGAUGUAAGCUGGACCAUGGAGCAGUUGAAGAAGGUUACCUGAUCUGAUGAAUGAUGUUUUCUCUAAGAUCAGGUGGAUGGAGGGUGCUUGUGCGUCAUUUACCCGAGAGAUGGCAGCAAGAUGCACUAUAGGAAGAAGGGAGAAAAAUGUGUAUGCAGAAAAAAGGUAUUUUACUUACCUUUUCUCUCUCACAGACUGGCCUUGCAUAAUUGGCUGAGAUGAUUAAGAUCGCUGAUCUCACCCAAUCCAUUGCUUUUCCAUAUGAAAGCAUUGGGAGGCUAGUGCCCACGCACAAUACACCAUCACACUCUCCGAGACCAUCUAAUUGAAAUAGCAGAGUUUUACUAUGAUAUUUUAUCGGAAUGUUAACAAAACACAAAAUUCAAACCACACACUCCCCACAAAAGUGCUGUGCUCAAAUAUAAAAAAUGAUUUACCCUUUAAAAUGUAUUGUAGAAUACUAAAAAGGUUCCUCAAAUUCCUCGUAAAUGUGACAUAAAAAUGAGUAUCUACAAUAGAUAAUAACAGGACCACACAUAGAGCAUUAGAGUAAAACACUUGAAAAGGGGGUAAAGUUCAAUGUUCAACUCACAAGAAUAUAUAAGAACCAAGCUUCUCUUCUCUUCUGGUGUAUACAAAUAUUUCUGGAUAAAUCAGAUUAUUCCAAUACGAUGAAUCUGAUUAUCUUGGCUUUUCAAAUUUGCAUGUAAAAGAAAUAUAGCAAAAACAUAGCUUUUUUUUGGUCACACUUACAAUAUCCUUUAAAAUUAUGAGCUCAUCAUCAAAAUCUCUGAAAAAAUUGGAACACUGGUAAAGUGCAAGUGCAAGACAGGUUCCUCCGAAGAAACUGGAAUACUAGUUAAGUGCAAGACAGGUUCCUCCUCCGUCUCUUUCUUUGGGAUAGUGAUGUAAGGGAUACAAUGUUUAAAACAUUAAAAUAGUAAAAUUGUCCAAUCUCACCCUAUGCAUUUCGUCUCCCAGGAGACUUUGUCAGGGUUAUGAAUGACAAAAAAUUGAAAGAAUUGGUAAUGCUAACAUGCAAACAAAACACAGUUAUAAAGGAAAUAUGAGUUCGGCUCUGGGCUGCCUUCAGCGAGCCAGUAGAUGUCUUCACAGUUGUUUCCCUUCUUGAUCAUUGAAGUUCCCGCCAGUAGACCUUCAUUCCCAAUUGCUCUUUUUGUCUUGGAAUGCAUAUGCAUUCCACUAACGUGCGCUGGGUAUUCUUCCGGUUUGUCGGAAUCACAACCAGUGGCUAGUAUGACAAGCACUGGAGUCAUUUAAACCCUGCAAUGAAAACAUUGAUGUUCUGCAGUACGAUAGUGUUUUCAGCUGCAGAGUAAAAACAGAGUAUAAAGAAUAGAUUAAUUAAUUAAUUAAAAUUCUGUUCGUUAUCAUCCCUCAUAAGGGGUUUUGUAUUUGCUGCUCCUAGAGGGCUCAUUGAGCAAAUCAAUUUUCAUAAUAUUUUUUCACAUUCUUGUUAUUAAGGUUAAAUAAAUUAUGAUGAUGAAACUUUAUUUGUAAUUAAUUUGUAUAUAUUGUGAAUGGUUAGUCAAAGGUUGUUUAUUCAUAUUCAAGUUUAUGCACUCAUUGUUUUCCCGUUGAUUUCACUUUGUUUCUGUUUGUAUAUGUAUAUGAAUAUAUAGUACGGGAAGAGAAGCUUUUCACAGUGUAGUCUAGAAUGUCCAGAAAAGUAUUGAAACAUAUAUAUUAUAGCUUUUAUCACUUUGGAAUGCCAACAUUUCAGAAUGGACAAAGGUCUUCCAUUAGUUUAUUCUCACCUGUAUAUUUAAUGAUCAUACUCUGGCCAUGAUUACAUAUUCACAGCUGUUAUUUUUACCUGGCUAUCAAAUUGCUGUAAGAAUAUUAAAUAUGUUGAGCUGCACAGAUUUUGCGUGGGCAGCAGCGAUGGCUCAGAGUUCAAACAAAAACAUGUUGCAUUGAUAUACAGAUAAAAGUAAUACUUAUUUAAUACUAACAGAUACAAUGAUCAGAAGUCAUCUAGGCUAAAAUAAAGAAGGCAAAAAAAAAAAAAUCUAAAUCAAACUUAAAAUAACAAAAUAAAAUAACCAAAACGAGUUAUUAAAACUAGUUUUAACCGCACAAAGAAUCUUUGAACUGGUACUGUACAGGUCAGUAUAUAUUAGUAUUUGUAGCUCUCCUAACCUGAUACCAUACUGUAGUAUUACUUUGUUACAGUCCACAGGGGUAUUGCUAAGUGACCAGGUGCUUCAGCGCAAAGGGUAAUGUUUAUGAUCCCGCUCACAUGUUUAUGGCCCCUCUUAAAACUAGUCGUAUUCCAUGCCCUAACGUAACCCUAAACCCUAACAUGUGACAUUAUGACAUCAAAUCUUUGAACUAUUUAGAGCAUUAUGUAAGCCUAGAUUUAUAAGCUGCAUAUGUUGUAUUAAACCUACAUCCACUUUAUUAAAACCAUGAACCCAAAUCAAUAACCCCACAUAUGGUGCAUUAAAGUUGCACUAUCACAAACCAAUGUCGUUGGAUAUGUUAUUUCUCUUUAAAUAUUACCAAGAGACUUGAGAUGAACAAUGAAAGGGUAUCAAAAUAAGACCUGUGACAGUAGGCAGAGGGCACAAUACCUGCCUGGAAGGAGAGCUGCAGUCUGGGGUGGAAUAGCCUCAGGCAAAAGCUUUGAAGUUUUCCCAGUUCUAGCUAGGAGGCGAGCUUGGCGAACGUACCCAGUCAGGGUACAGGAAGCUCCUUCACAAGACUCAUGACUUCUUAAGAUCCAGCUUGUUGCCCAGCGAGGUCAGCCCCUCUGCAACAUACAAGGUUCUAUUUCACAAUCUGCAAAUAUACACCCGAAUUGCAACCUCUAAUGUUAUUCUCAUCCACAUACAUAACAACGUUUGCUCCUUGCAUCUGAUGGUAACUGGUCUUUUGAUGACACCUCAUUCCUGACAUCCUGGGUAUCCUCAGAGGAAGAACCUCGGUCAUAUUUGAGAUGGGAACUAAUGAGCAGUGACCACAACUUUAUAGGCUUUAAAUACAUACUUACAUUUGCUUUCAUAUUGUAGAUUGUGGAACAAUACUUUUUCUCUGUCUCAAAAAACAUAUUUCUGCCUUAACUACCAUUUUAUAUGACACAUGGCAUGAAUAGUUAACAUAUAUUGGAUAAAAUAAACAUUUUUUUGUAGAGACUGCUGUUUAAUUACAAAUUACAAAACAUUUUACAUAAUACAAUUUUGUAAGAACAUAUUGUUCUAAUUUCAUUUAUUUGUUCAUCAUUUUAUAUGUUCACAUUUUGAGAAAUAUUUAAGGAUGAAAAGUAUUAGUUAUUAUCUGGUAACCAUCAUCAGAUAGGGUCUUAAAUUCUCUCAGAAGAAACAAAUGUUUUGUCACAUACAAUAAUUGUGAAAAGGAUAGAUAAUUAAAAAUGCUUAUUGGUGUAUGUAAAAGCAAGAUGGCACAGCAGACCCUCUUCCAUUUAGGUGCAAUCCAACACAACUAUAAAAAUUGUACCCAAGCCAAAAAUCAGUCCAGUGCUCUGAAAAGUCAAAAUCCUCCUUCCUAUACCAAGACUUUAGCCAUUGCCAUCCCUAAUUUCCCACUGCCUUUCUACUGUAGCACUGAUAAUACUUCUGAGAAUACAACCUCGGAGGUCAUUUUUUUCAGUUUACUUCAUAAUUUCCUGAUCCCAUUCUUUAGGACCCUCCAUUUUCCUCCGACUUUUUCAUUGGUACCAGUAUGGACUUUGACAGCCCCUCUCAAUAAUCCUUCCACUCUGUCAUCAACAUGCUGAAUCUGAGCACCAGGGAGACAGCAAACUGUCCACACGAUCAGAGUGGCAGACUACCCUAUCUACUCUUUUAAUAAAAGAGUCCACUACCACUACAACCUGUUUCUUUUUUUGCAAACUUCCCACCUGCCCGUAUGGAUAAGCCACCACUGGUGCCCAGAGUUUUUAUUUUAACUUCAGUUUUACUCAAAUUAAAUCAAACCAUUCUGUGGUGGAAACGGGACCUAAAUCAUGGUCCAGAAUAGAUGAAAGACAUCCACUUGCUAUUCAAAUAUAAUGGGAGAUUAGAUAACACUUUUAUAGCAAAACUGGCAAAAUAAAGUACAGACUGUAAUUCUCUAAGCUAUAAUAUUAUUGAUCUCAACAAAAAUAAUUUAUGCAUUAUAUUUGUCUUUGUUUAAAGGAUCCCAGUUAAAUAAUUUGGAUGAAGCUCGCAUGUUUCUCCAAUUGAUUUUGCAUCCCUCUUGCAACUUGGCCUUUCAUGUUACAUUUAUCAUUUGUUGUUUUCUCUGCACAUCUCUUAAGCAUAACACAGAAUUUAUAAUUUAUGCUCAGCUAUUUUCAGUGAAGCAAAUCAUUUGUCAAGGGAGAAAAGAAAAAAAAAAUACUUCCUGUGCAAUAUGUCAGGCCUGCUUUCACAAUCAAUAACUAUUUAAUAGAUAGCAAGUCUAAUCUCUUUCAUCUCGAUCUGUUUGGCCAUUAGGUUUUCUACUUGUUCAAUGCUAAAUGAAGCAAGAUUAAUUUACAAAUGUAAAUCAUAGCUUGAGCUAGUACUUCCAAAACAAGUUAUACAUUUCUUAACGUAAAUAAGGAACUAAACGCUUAUUUUUUACCACUUUGAAAGAAAAACAAGUUGGCAAUAUCUCCUGAGAGUGUUUAUUAUAGCAUAAUGGCAUGGGGUAGUAAAAACUCUCAGUAAAUAGACAGACAGAGACAGACGGAUGGACGGAUGGAUAGACAGACAGAUAGAAUGCAUUAGAUAGAUAGAUAGAUAGAUAGAUAGAUAGAUAAUGAUUAAUCACACACAGGAGGGUCCUAAAGGGUCUAGGAGGCUAUUAAUAGAGCAGGAGAUAAUACAUUCUAGCAGUGGUGUAUCCUGGUUUUGUGCUGCCCUAGGCAUGACAAAACUCAGGCAGCCCUCCCUCCCCCGUACCCCGCCUUCUAAAUACACAUACACACUCACUGACAGACACAUAUACACUCAGUGUCAGACACAUACUUUCACUGACACACAUAAACUAGCUAACAGACAUACACACUCACUAACAGACACAUACAGUCACUAACAGACACGCAUACACUCUCACUAACAGACAUGCAUACACACUCACUAACAGACACAAAUACUAACACACUCACUAACAGACACACACAUAGUAACACACUCCCUAACAGAAACAGACAUGCAUACCCUCUCACUAACAGACAUGCAUACACACUCACUAACAGACACACACACACUAACACACACACACUAACAGACACACACACACACUCACUAACAGACACACACACACGCUCACAAACAGACACUCAAAUUUUUUUUUAAAUUCAAUCCCUCCAGCCUCCCUACCUUUGGGAAUGCUGAGGUGGAUUAUCACUUUCCCUGGGGUCCAGUGGGGCUGCUGGGCGGGUGGCCAGCAGGUCACUGCAGUCAGCGAGGGAGCACUAAUCCUCCUGUUCAGCUCCCUUGCGCGCUGCAAAGUGAUGCCGCGGCCGGAAUGUUGGCAUAUUCUGGCUCCGGCAUCACUGCGGUGUGUGCCAGAGAGCUGAAUAAGAGGAUUAGUGCUCCCUUGCUGCCCAGAAAACUCAGCCGCUGCAAGCCUGGGGGGGCCAGCCCCCCAGGACAAUAGGUUGUGAAGGCAUUUGCCAGGGCGAUUGGGGGGGUGGCUUUUUUUGCCCCACCGAGGCAGUGCCCCAACCAAAAACUAAUCUGUUGGUGUUGAAAGGGUUAUUGGUAAGCAUGUGUUAAAUUGUUAUAUUUACAAUGUUUAGUUCUGUUAAGAAGCACUCUAGGCAUCAACACCACUUUAUCUAAUUGAAGUGGUAUGGGCGCACUGUCCAUGUUCCUUUAACUCUGAGCAAUUGCAAUGUUUACAUUACAGGAUUAAGACUGCUUCUAGUGUUUGUCUACUAGACAGCCACUACACGCACUUCCUGCAGUAACACGGAGUUUGACUCUGUGAAACAAAUCUGGACAUCCUUAUGCUUUGCAUGAGGAAAUCCAGCAUUAUCAAAACUAUGCACAUUAGGUUCCCUUCAUCAGUGGAGGAGUAGCACAACACAGUGUCGAGGAACACAGGUAAGUGAAAAAGGUUUCGUUUUACCCUUUCAUAGAUGGCAGGGUAAUGGGGGGAUAGGGAGGGCACUUAUGCAGGCGGACACUAUUGUUUUAGGAAUUAGAGACAAAUAGGGGGCGUAGAGUCUAGUAGACUUUUGCAUUAGGUUGCAAACAAAUUUGAUUCUUCCAUAACUCCAAAUUCGCCAUAUAUCGGAAUCACAAACCAAAUGGAUGGACAAUUUAUGAGUCUUUUUAUUUAAGUUGGUGAUUCAGAAUUCCGUUUGUGGUACUAAGAAAAAGAUGAUUGACGGAAAAAUAGAUGAUUGAUGGUUAGGGUGAAGCCAUUAAAUCUUAAUUUUAUUCACAGAUAAGCUGAGAAGUGAUCAAUAAAAGAGGAACAGUAAAAUACAAUUUAUAUUUAUAUAUUAUACAUUUAAUGAAUAUAUAAUACAUGCACUUAUCCAAUGAUCUACUCGCUGCUAAAUCUCGUGGUCACUACUCUUUCCUAAUUCUCCUUGACCUGUCUGUGGCUUUUGACACUGUUGAUCAUCAACAGCUUCUUCUCAUCCUCCGCAAUAUCGGUCUACAAGAUAUUGCUCUCUUCUGGUGCUCCUCCUACUUCUCCCAGCGCUCUUUCAGUGUUUCUUUCUCUGGCUCUGCUUCUUCUCCCCAACUCCUCUCUGUUGGAGUCCCCCAAGGUUCAGUCCUUGGUCCCCUACUGUUCUCCAUUUAUACUGCCUCCCUUGGUAAACUCAUUAGCUCCUUUGGCUUCCAAUAUCAUUUCUAUGCAGAUGACACGCAAAUCUACCUGUCCUCUCCUGAUCUCUCCCCGUCCCUCUUGACUAGUGUCUCUGACUGCCUCUCUGCUGUUUCUAACUGGAUGGCUGCCCACUUCCUUAAACUAAACUUGACCAAAACUGAAAUUCUGGUCUUUCCUCCCUCAAGUGUUGUUACUCCUGUGUCUGUCUCCCUCCAAGUCAACGGUGCUACCAUCAGCUCCACCACGCAGGCUCGCUGCCUAGGUGUUCUCUUUGACUCCGACCUCUCCUUCAAGCCUCAUGUUCAAUCUAUCGCCAAAUCCUGUCAUUUCCAUCUCAAAAACAUUGCGCGCAUCCGCCCCUACUUAACGCCAGAUGCGACUAAGGUGUUGGUCCAUUCCACUGUCCUUUCUCGCCUUGACUAUUGUAAUCCGCUUCUCAGUGGUCUUACGUGCUCCCAACUUGCGCCGUUACAGUCCAUAAUGAAUGUGGCGGCGAGGCUCAUCUUCCUGUCUGCCCGCACCUCCCAUUCCUCACCCUUCUGUCAGUCCCUACAUUGGCUUCCUAUAAAAUAUAGAGCUCAAUUUAAAAUUCUGGUUCUUGCUUUCAAAUGUCUACAUAAUGCUUCUCCCACCUAUCUAUCCUCCUUUAUACACAAGUAUGUCCCGCCUAGGCCCUUACGAUCUGCUGAAGACUUACGUCUAUCUUCUGUCCGUACUCCCAUCUCUGAUGCUCGCCUUCAAGAUUUCUCAAGGGCUGCACCGUUCCUGUGGAACUCACUUCUCUCCUCCGUUAGAUGCUCACCCAAUCUCCAGUCCUUCAAAAAAUCGUUAAACACCAACUUCUUCAUAAAAGCAUAUCAAUUAAACUGUUAAUAGCUCCUGACUGGUUCCUCUUCUGCAACUGUCACUAGUCUAAUACUAUCCUUAACUUUUGUGUCAUUUUACCCCACUCCCUCUAGCAUGUAAGCUCAUUGAGCAUGGCCCUCAACCCCUCUGUUCCUGUGUGUCCAACUUGUCUGGUUACAAUGGUUUACCCAUUGUAAAGCGCUGAGGAAUUUGACGGCGCUCUAUAAAUAUCAUAAUAAUAAUAAUAAUAUAUAAAGACUUUUUAUUCCCUCUACUGGUUACUUCCACUCACUGGAUCUGUUAACCAAAUGGUUUAAAAAUCUUAUUAUUAAAUAUUUAUAUUAUGCAUAUAUUUUGCAGUAUACUAACAGUCGCAUGUUUGCACAAUUUUGGUUCAUCGGAAUUAUUUUUCCUAAAACAAAUGCAUGGACAUAAUCUGUCUGAACAACACAUGGAUAAAACCAUGAAAUUCAUCCAAAGCAAUAUAUUUAUUUAUUUAUUUUUGGGCAAACCACAUUUUUUUUCUGUGCACAUUCCUAGAGUCUAGUACCCCACCAAGGGCUUACCAGACAUUGUAAUUGUUGUUGUUAAGUUAUUAAAGGAACAUUAUACGGUCAGGAACACAAACAUCUAUUCCUGACCCUAUAGUGUUAAAACCACCAUCCAGCCCUCCAGCCAUGAUGACAUCUUGGUUGACAUCUUCAGAAGUGGUGUUCUGAGGCAAUCACAAUGCUUUCACAUAGGAAAGCAUUGGAUUGGCUGAGCUUGUCAAUGAGGUAGAUCAGGGGCAAAACCAGCACAAGCUAAGCACAUCCCUGGCCAAUCAGCAUCUCAUCAUAGAAAUCCAUUUCAUCAAUGCAUCUCUAUGAGGAAAGUUCAUGUCUCCAUGCAGAGGCUAAAAAUACUGAAUGUCAGUCACACACUGCCCCAGGAAGGACCUCUAGCCUGUAAUGUAAACACUGCAUUUUCUCUAAAAACAGCGUUUACUGCAAAAAGCCUGAAGGGAAUGAUUCUACUCACCAGAACAAGUACAAUUAGCUGUAGUUGUUCUGGUGACUAGAGUGUCCCUUUAAUGUGACACAGUGUUUCUUACACUAAGAAUAAUCUGAGCAUUCUAACCAUGCCUUAUAGUUCUAUUCUGGCAGUGUAACCUGCAACUUUAGGUGCACAGACUGCAGGAGAGACUCUGAUUUGUAAAUACUUAAUUUUGUUGUUGUUUUUCAUUUCCUUCGUUUUCGGGUUAUUAAAGUCCUGGAUUUAGGUAUAUUUAACGCAUUUUAUUGAAAUUUAAGUUUUAAUUUGCAAAUAUAAUACCACCAAACAGUCUGGACAAGUCUUUAGUUCUUCUCUGUUUGCUAGUACCCCACCAUCGUUAAACGUCAUAUUAUCCUUAUAGGAAGCCUUUUUUACCAUAUCGUGCAUUUCUGAUAAAAUUGUAAUAGUACCUUAUAAUUAAAAAAGGAUUUAAUACACAUUGUAGCUGAAUCCAAAUUUACAAAAAAAUCAAUGUAAAAAAUCUCAGACUUAUAAAGAAUGUAAUAAAUAGAACAUUAAAUAACCUACCUAGAAGUUGAUGAACAUGCCAAUUAAUGAGGCAUUCCUAAAGCGGUUGUCUGAGUAAAUAUGUAUUUUAUUAUUAUUAUUAUUAUUUUAUUAUUAUUAUUAUUAUUUUAUUAUUUAUAUAGCGCCAUCAGAUUCCGUAGCGCUGUACAAAGGGUGGACUAACAGACAUUUAACUGUAACCAGACAACUCGACGUACAGGAACAGAGAGGCGGAGGGCCCUGCUCAAUAAGCUUACAUUCAUUUAAAAGAAUUGUCUGUAAUUUAAACAGAUUUAAAAUAAAUGUGAUAUAACAUACUCUACCUAUGCUUUGCAUGGUACUUUUUACAUUAUACUUCAGUGUGGGAAUAAUAUAUACAAAUAAAUUACCAUAACUGAUUAAAAAAAAAAUAAGUAUUGCCCUUGUAUGAGUACAUGAGCAUACACAUUUAUUUACCAAAGUAAGAAUUUACAGAGAAUUUCCAAUUUAAGGUCAUAAUAGCUAAAUGUUUAAGAGUCUUUAAGUCACCUGAUUCUAGUUUCGCUACUGUGGCCCUAAAUUUGAAAUUCACUUUAAUUUAUCACUCUAGUGAAAAACCCUGUGGAUGUUUACAAACCGUAAUUGGACUGCAGUGCUUUUAGUGCUGCAGUCUCCAAGAUUAGAAGAUCAACGAGACAUCACUGCCACCUAGUGUUCAUUGCUCAACGAGUAGCACAUACCAAACACUAACGAGCAUCUCCAUUAACAGUAUAUAUUGAUUUGAGCAGGCUGGUUAUUUUGAGUUGGUAAGUAUGUCAAGCAUUAAACACGUUAUUUAUUUUGGUCCUUAAAUAUGCAGUAAAAUGGGUUGAGAAUUGCAUGUUGCUAGCAGUUUAACCCCUUAAGGACCAAACUUCUGGAAUAAAAGGGAAUCAUGACAUGUCACACGUCAUGUGUCCUUAAGGGGUUAAAUGAUAUAGAAUGACUGUAAAAAUAAAUAAUAUGCUUCAAUUUAUUCCUGCAAAACAAAGUAAAUAUACAGAUUUUAAUGACAAAACUGUGACAUAAUUUAAUAAUCAAGUAUUUGCAGUUAUUAACCAUCGCAUUUCAUUGCUUGUAUAUUAAGCAUUUGAUUGAAACUGUACACAUUAACAUUAUUCUUUUAAUUCAAUUAUUAUUAUUUACUCCAUUACAAUUCACACAGUGGCUGCAUUUAUACAUGACCUUAACAUUAGAUAGCCAUUUGUUCGUUGAUGGUGAUGCAGGUGAUUUAUCCGCAUGUAUCAAGGAAUCCCUGAGACUCCUUGGUCUCUUGUACACCAUGAUUGGAGGAUUCUUGAAUAGAUCACCCAAUUUAGGGUCUGAUGUCAAUAUGUGCCAGUGUUUAUGGAUUAUGCAUCUAAUUCAUUUUUGAUUGUAUGGAAAAGGUGGUUACACAAGGUAUUCUAGUGUUACUACUCCCUGUCAUAUGGGUCCUCACUGUGGUAUGGUCAAAAUUAUAUUUGUUUCUAGUUAAGGUCCCUUCCUUUCGCGAAAGUCAUCCACAAGUUUGUUGGUCUUAAGUUCAAAGUUGUCCCCUCUAGAAAUGAUGCAUUUCCUUGUCACCAAUUGUGAGUAUGCAAGGCCACCUUUAAUUUGGGGGAACGAAAAGAAUCAAAAUAAAGGAAGGAAUUGCGAUCCUUGUUUUUUGAGUAUAUAUCAUCAUUGUCAUUUAGGGCCCCCACCCACCGCUCAUGGGUGGGGGCCGGGGGGAUGGACAACAGGUCCCCCCCCUGUCACGGCUGCUAGUGUGGUCCAACACGCAGAAACUAUGUAAACAUAUACAUACAAAAGGAAAGGAAAUAAAAGGACAGAGCGUAAACCGGACCUUAGAAUGGCCGGACUAAUACGCUAGAGAUAGAGAAUGGUCAAAGGGAAAGCUGAGGUCAAGGAAGCCAGAAAUACUCAGAUACCAUUUAAACAAGCCAAGUCAGGGGAACCAGAAUUCGGAAUAACCAGGGAAAAGCCAAGAUCAGGAUACCAGGAAGUAAAAUUCACAAAGAUAAACGCACUCUAGGGAACCAGGAACAGGAAACCACAACAGGGCAAGGUACUAGGGUGAAUUAGGGAUUUAAAUAUCCCUCUCUAGGCUCUGAUUGGUCAGAGGGUGACCUCUGACCCCAGAACGUGCGCGUGCGUUGACGUCAUGACGUCACGCGCACGUUCAGAUAAUUUUGCGGGGUGGAGCCAUGGAUGGACACCACCUCAUGGUCGGCGUCAUCAUGGAUUUCCCCGAGUGGCGUGGAGGAAUGGUUCCCGGCACGCCGCUGAGCAGGUAAGCUCAGUGAGUUUGUGAGGUCAUGCCGGUCGGGCACGGACGCACAUGGCGGCGAGCCGGGGGCCGUGACACCCCCAUUGUCAUUUAAGGCCCCCACCCGCCGCUCAUGGGUGGGGGCAAGGGAGUGGGGACAAUAGGUUCCCCCCAUUUUUAUUUAGGGCUUCCACCCGCCGCUCAUGGGUGGGGGCUGGGGAGACCCAAUGUCCCCUGUUUAGUUGAAUAGCCUCUCUGGCGGGGCACAAGAUUUGCAUUUUAUAUCUGUUUUUAUAUAUAAAAUGCCAAAAUACCAGAGUAUUGCAGUUUGCAAUAAUAGCUUUUUUUAUUGGACUAACAUAAUAUUUCAAAGACAAGCUUUCGAGAGUUUUUCUUUCAUCCUCAGGUCUGAAGCAAUACUGAUGGAGUUCAAUACUUAGUUCCCAAGGUUCUGUAUGUGUGUGGACAUGGAGUGAAAGUGAGGGAGAGACAGAGGUUCCAUCGAUAGAAAAAGGGACCCAUCCAUAGUCUUCCCAAAGUGCAGGGCAGGGACAGACUCAACCUUCGCGUGGGUGGAUGCAGGGAAGCAAACUAUUGGGGGAGCCAGGAACCUUGUCAGCUUAUCACAAUCACAUCUCACGCAUACACCUAAGCCAGUUUAGGAGCAGGAGUCUGUCUCUAAGCAACUCUCUAAUUCUGAACCAAAGGUUCAGAAUCAGGUAGUGCAAUGAGCCCAGCAGACCCCCAAAAUAAAAGAGAUGAAGGGUGUUGAUUCAGCGCAGGUAUCCUGGGAGUGUUCUCUGUCUCAUUGUUUGUGUGCUUACAGGGGAGUGCUGCAGAAAUUCAUUGGUUUGUUCCCCUUAGAACUACUACAUAAGCGCAGUGAGUGUGGUCCAAGGGAUGUGACCAGAGAUCGAUGGGAAAUGGAAACAGGAAAGUCAGCCAUGUUUAUUGUGGAUAUGGCUAUGGCAUGGGCUUUGCAGAAAUUACAGUCAUAUCUGUACAGCAGAGACUUACUGUCAUCACUGAUCACUACCCGCCACAUUGGCUAGACAGAGUGUUGAGUAACAAUGGUAAGCUGCUUCGUUGGAGUCUAUUCCUCCAACAGUAUAAUUUCACUGUCCAACACAAAAAGGGGAGCUUGCAUGGAAAUGCAGAUUGUCUGUCUUGGCAGGGGGAGCUAGAGGGUUAAUGGUAGACAGGUUUAUCAUCCUGUGGCAGAAUCUUUCUGUCCACCAUCUUAAGGGGGAGGUGUCAUGCCAAAGCAUGAGUUAUCAUUUGAUAUGUGAUAUGAGUUGUUUUUGUACAUGUUGGGAUAACAUUUAUUGUAGGCUUCGAUCUGACACCAGGCCUAAGCCAUAAAAUUUAAUUACUAGAUAACCAUCACCAGAGUUGGACAUAGGACAUCAUAAAAGGUAUUGGUGAAUAAGCUCUGAAUUUGGGUUUUGCAAAGGACAUCAUGUAAAGAAAUAUAGAGAACAUGUGUGUGUGUAUAUAUACCGUAUAUACUCGUGUAUAAGUCGAUCUCAUGUAUAAGUCGAGUGCAGUUUUGUGACCAACAAUUGAGAAAUAUGCUAUGCCUCGUGGAUAAGUCGAGGGUAAAACUUGGGGCUAUGAAAUUCUGUGAUUUUUAUAAUUAUAUACACACACACUCAUACAAACACACACUCUGCAUUAUAUGCGGACACUCAUACAAACACACACCCUGCAUUAUAUAUACACACACACACUCAUACAAACACACACUCUGCAUUAUAUACACACACACACUCAUACAAACACACAUUCUGCAUUAUAUACACACACACACUCAUACAAACACACACUCUGCAUUAUAUACACACACUCUGUGUAUAUAAUGCAGAGUGUGUAUAUAAUGCAGAGUGUGUGUGAACUGGGUGGGGGGAGGGCAUUUUGAUUAUUUUAAUUUUUUUUGUCCCCCCCCCUGCUUGUUAACUGGUCAGGGAGGGGGGCUAUCUUAAUCCCUGGUGCUCCAGUGGCAUGGGCUGUGAAGUGGGGGGGCCGGCAGGAAGCAUUUACUUACCUUUCCUGCAGCUCCUGUCAGCUCCCUUCUCCUCCGUUCCGGUCAGCUCCACUGUAAGUAUCGCGGUCUGGUUGCCGCGCGGAUCGUUGCCAUGGCUCUGACGGCCGCGGCUCUCUAAGUUGCCAUAAUACAGACAGUGACUCGAGUAUAAGUCGAGUGGGGGUUUUUAAGCACAAAAAAUGUGCUGAAAAACUAGACUUAUACUCGAGUAUAUACUGUAUAUAUUAUAAUAAAAGGCCCAAUAUAAAUAGAUAUUCAGAUUGCCCAGGCUAUAUCCAUUUGUUUAGUACCAAACAUGCCCAGCGGAAGGUGUGCCUGUCAUGGGAAACAAGAAUGGACACUUUCCAAGAAGUUAAAGUUACCAUGUUUGGUCUCUAAAAUGUUACAAGUAUUGGAGGAGUAUGAUGAUAAGAUAAUUAUAGAGAGAUACUGUAAAUGGCACUUUAAUAUCUGAACCUCCCACAAGAACUAUAUAUAAUCAGUAAAUAUAUGUAAGGAUUUCCUGUUUUUUCUCCUAUUUUCUUUUAUGGACUGUUUUGCAAUUUGUUAUCUGUGUUUCUGUAUGUCGUUUAUUUCUGUAUUUUUAUACACAACACUGUGAAUCCUUUUUGUCAGAAUAAAUGCUCACUUAAUCAGCUCGUGUCUUUGUUCUCUAUGAGUUCACUCUCCAGAGGAAAGCUCAGGUAUACACGUUACCAAAAGGGUUCAUUAUAUAUGGCUGAUCAGUAAAGUAAGGUUGUGAUCCUAUAAUUGUCCUGUGUGUGGGGUAACCUAAGACACCCUGAUAUAAAGUCUUAGUGGUGGCAAUAAAGUGUGUACUAGGGUGUUAGUGUAGAAGGGAUUGCAGGGGUUAAUUUAGUGGAUGCUGGGUCUAGCAACAGGUAACCAGGUGUCUGGUGUCAUUAACCCUUUUCAAUUCCACACUCUCAACACUGUAUCGGCUUGGCCAAUAGCCCACGUUCAUGAGUGUUAAACUCUGUCAGAUUGAUAAGUAAUGCUUCAGACCUGACUCUCGAAAGCUUGUCUUUGAAAUAUGAUGUUUUUCAAAUAAAAAUAGGUAUCAUUGCAUACUGCAAUACUCUGGUAUAUUGGCACCUUGUCUACUGGACUAAUGCGGCUAAUGCCAUCUACACACAUAUAUAUAUUCCUGUGGAACUCACUUCCCUCCUUUGUUAGAUGCUCACCCAGUCUCCACUCCUUCAAAAAAUCAUUAAAAACCCACUUCUUCAUAAAAGCGUAUGAAUUAAACUGUUAAUAGCUCCCAACUGAUUCCUCUCUUGCAACUGUCAUUAUUCUAAUACUAUCCUUACCUUUUUUUUGUCAUUUUACCCCACUCCCUCUAGCAUGUAAGCUCAUUGAGCAGGGCCCUUAACCCCUCUAUCAUAAAUUCAGCGCAGCAAGAAAGCACUGGUUUUGCAAUGCACCAGAGCUGGAUGCCAUUAAUCUUUGGUUCUGAUUGGGUCCCCCACCUAUUUUGAUCUCCCUGCAAGCUCUUAGAAAUUGAGUCCCUGAAGAAGCCGCAUUCCCUCUCUGUUCCGGCACUCUGUGAGAAAGUCAUAUUGCAGGGACCAGGCUUCCUACCUAGCGCUCUGAUGUCAUUACAGAGCGCUGGAACCGUGAGGAAAUGUGGCUGCACCUGCAGUGGGUUGAAAAAUAUUGAGACUGUAGAAUUCAAUAGAAGUCGCGUUUUCUGUUGAAUUUGUGGAAACCACUUGAAGCAUUCGGUGUAUUAAGCUAUUUCAAUUGCUCUUGUUUGACUUGUUUUUUUGCAAACAGCUGAAAAUCUGUAAAUUCUGACAAUUAAUUCUGUGUGUGUGUGUGUGUGUGUGUUUCCCUUGCAGUUCUGGUGAUCUGUGAGAGAGUCAAAGCGCAGGCGGUGGGUUUCCCAGUCAAUGCACUGAUGUCAUCACAGACCUCCGGAACUGCGAUAGAAUGUGGCUGCACCAGCAGUACAAUGGACCACCAGCAGCCUACUGGACCACCAGUGACCCACUGGACCACCAUGGGAUGAAUGAUAGCCCCCCUAUCGUAUGUAGAAUGAUAGCCCCCCUAUCGUAUGUAGUAUGUAGUUGGUUAUGGUAAGUAUGAGAUGGCAAAUGCAAUAAAUGCAAUUUGAAUAUUUUAGAACAUUUUUAUUUAUAAAAGUAGAAACAGUGUGCAGUGCUCAGUUGCAGCCUACAUUGCAUUGAAGAUGGUGCAUAAUCACAAACUAAUUAAUUUUUUACCUUCAAAUAAAGUUUAUUAAGAAACAUUUUUAAAACUUACAAACAAAUUCAAUCAAAUUCAAUGAACGUACAACACAAUAUAUGUUUACAUAAACAAAAAAAAUAAUAUUUCACAAUAAAUAGGUAUUAUUAAAUGCUAUUAUUUGUAUUUUGCUCUUUGUAUAAUGACCCAUAACUCUUUUCUAUUACACAAUUGUGUUAAUAAGUAGUAAUUAUAAAUAGGAUAUCUAUAAAAAAAAAAUUAAGUUUAUGAAGAAAAAUAAAAACAAUUUAAAACCAUAACCUGCCGUCGGCUGACGUAUUUAAUUACCUAAGAGUUAGGAAUUUCCUGAACACAUCACAUUCCUUACCUGUAGAUGUUUGGGAUGAAUUUAUCGUUUGAUAUUCCCCUUCUUAUUUAAUUUAAAAAAUAACCAAAAUUUCUCACUAGAAGCUAACAUAGACAAACCAAAAUGUAUACUAAAAUGGGAAUAAGAGUGUAUCAGACAAGAUUUUACACAUAUGUGGUUUAAGGCAUGGCAGAACCUCAGGAAAGCAACCCACUGCAUUAACCUACAAAAACAAUAUUACAAACUAUCACAUAGAUGGUACUUAGUCCCCAAGCAACUGCAUAAAUUUAAUACAAGUAACACAAACUUAUGUUGGUGUUGCAAAAGUAAAAUAGGCAUGCAUUACUAUAUUUGAUCCAGCUCAAAAUCAAAAUACAGAAAAUCUUUAGAAUUUGGGUAAAUGACUCUUAUAAACGUUUCUGUUUCAUUUGGAUCUUCCUGCACAAGUCAAAACAUCUAAUUUUUAAAUAUCCUCUUGGCAUUUAAAAUCACCUAGCAAGGUAUCGGAAUAAACAAGAAACUCCUUCACAGGCAGAGAUCCAUACGAAAAUUUCUUUACAAGAUGAUGCAGAAAAAUAUUUAUAUAAUAACAAUAACCAAAUGAAGAACAUGACUUUGGGUAGUAGAACCAAGUAAAAUAAGUCACAUAACUUCGGCAGAUUAACAACAUGAACAUUAACUUUCCACAUGAGAAAAUCAUUUAAAGCCUAUAUUCCUUUUUAAAAAAGGUUUCCCAUAUUUCCCAAUAGUAAGCAAGAUUGUCACGCAACUGAGAAGGCUGUUCUCUACACUUUUCUGUCUAUCUGGGUUCUAAUUUGGCUUCUUUAUGAAUCUGAGCUAUUGUUUUUGGAUCCAGAUUUUCAUGGCUAGGCACCCACUUGUUAAUCCUCAAAUCCACCAGAUCUUGCAUCAUGAAUCUAAUUCGGGGAGAUGUUUUCCUGUUUUUGAUGAGUUUAGCAAUGUUGCUGAAACAGUCAUCCAUAAGAGGCAGUCCACUUUCCAGGUGUUUUCCAACUGAUGUUAGCCAACGACAGAAGUACUCUAUUGACUCCUCACUUUGCCUGUUCAGAAGUUUGUUAAGACAGUCAUGUAUGAUGUUUUUUAGAGUAUUUUCAGUUUAAAUAGUUUCCCAAAAAAUGUGAUGUUUCCUAGAGAGCGCUUGCGUGCUUUAUUUCGAGCAUUGCUCAAUUCCUCCUUUACUUGAGCCUUUUCUGUAGGCGAUGUCGCUGUUUCCAGUGUCGUCUGUAGUUUUUGAAUUUGCUCGUCACCUGUAGCGGUACUUACCCUUUCCAGGGGCCGGCCGGGGUCCUCUGUUCGAGCCGCGCGCGGUCCUGCUGCUGCACGAGCCGCGCGCGGCUCAUCCGACGGCUGUGACUGGAAAGCGGUCACGUGUUCCACCUAACUCUAAGAGCGCGCCGCGGGUAUCGGGCGCGCUCUUAAAGGGACAGUGGGUGCCUAAAUUGGAAAAGGCAUCCCAUUGGUCCCUGUCAUGCCACACUCCCCAUACACUUACCUUUUGGGGGCGUGGAUGUGACAGGGACCAAUCAAAUUAGAUGUUUAGGUAUUUAUACUCACCUUCUUCCCUCUGUUCCUUGCCCUAUCGUGGUUUCUGUAUCAGUUCCCUUUAGCGCUUGUUGUGUUCAGUUGUGUUUCUCCGUAUUGACCUUGGCUUUGUUUCUGACUACGUUUUCUCUUUAUCCUUCUGUUCUGGUUGUCGGCUUGUUGUUUACUGUGUACCAGACCCCGGCUUAUCCUAGUUUACGCUGUCUCUCUGUGCCCUUGAUUUCGGAUUGUUCCUGACUCUGUCUCCUCUCAUAUACGUCGAGUCCGGCCAUUCUAAGGUCUGGUAGACGUAUCUCUCCUCUGUGUUGUCUUUUGUUUAGCUGAAUCCUGCGUGUUGGGGUAUAUUCUCGUUACAUCACCAUCUUCACCUUUUUCAAACUCCUCCUGCCAAAGAUUUAGCAGCAACCUGCGGAAGUUAAUGCAGUCUUUAGGAUUUCUUUCAGUUGGAACUUCCAGCCCCAUUAGACAGUGGCACAUGUUGACAUAUAUUAAAGAAAAAGUUAGCUCAGAGAUUGAUUUUUCAAAUAGUAGUUUAACGACACCUUUGAGCUGAUAUUCUGUGUGUACAGAGAGGUCUGCCACUUGGUGUGUUAGUUGCUGAAAUGUCUCCGGAGUCACCUUAUUCAGUAUACCACGCACUUUGCAGAACAAUUCCUGAGCCUGGACACUAGUGGACUUUGCCCUUCUCAUAGCUGGUUUCCAAGCAUUUUCAGCUUUACAUAGGUGAAUAUUCUCAUUUAAUGUUAUAAUUUUGCGAGAAUGUUUGCAAGGCUCUUGCUGGGACCUCCUUGGACUCGGUCCAGCUGGAAAUAUAGGUUUAGACCUAGCAGGGCGGCAGAAUCUUGCAGUUGGGUGUGUAAAAUUCUUGGUAGCCUGUUGUGAUGAAUCCAGUGGCUGCAGUUGGGUUUUCUUAGACGUAUGUAGUUGUAUGUCAGGUAUAUCUGGAAGGCUAUCUGGCUUCUGUUUUAUAAUCCGAAAACUGAGCAGAAAUUUACGGCUGUAGCAUAUCCUUGUUAUUUGUCCUAUUUUGAUAUUUGGGUUUGUUUGAGGUACAGCCUCAGCAGUUUGUGCCUGGCUCUCAGUGGUCUGCUCUGGGUAUACAUUAGUUUUAGUAGGUGGUUCACUUUCUUCAUGUUCUUUUUCCUGAGCAGACUUAUUAACUGGCAUAGGCUGCUCUUUGGGUUUAAUGACAGAGCUCACAUAGACUUCAGGCUGGAGAACUUUUAAUUCAGUAUUCUUCUGCUCAUUGGCUCCCUCUUUAUUUGUUAGAAGCACUUCCCCUGCUGGAAAAUUCAUGGACUCAGGGGGAUAAACCAGACUGGUAGAAUUCACUGGCAAUUCCUGGGACAAUUCCUUAGUCAAAGGUUUGGUAGGAUGAAGCGGGCACUCUAAAGGAAUAUCCUCUUCCUGUGAUUGGCUGCCUAGAUGCUAGAUUUGUAGGCUCAGGAUGAGAAACUAAAGUAAACUGUUGUGGAUCAGAGUUUACUGGCAGCUCCUCUGGUAAUUCACUUGUGUGAGGUUCAGUAGUAGAUACAGGGUCCUCCAGAAGAAUAUCUUCUUCUACACCUGUGACUGACUGCUCAUGAUCUAAAUCAAUAGGCUCAGAUAGGCAAGCCAAAGUGGACUGUGACUUAACAGAGUUUACUGGCAGCUCUUUUGGUAGUCCACUACUAGUAAGAGGUUUAAUAGAAUAAAGUGGGCUCACAAGGGGAAUAUGUUCUUCAAGACCUGGGAUCUCAGGAUCUAGAAUUCGUGGCUCAGGAUGGAAAUCUACAUAAGCAUUUUUUUCUUCUACAGGAGCAGUUGCAGCUUCUUGAGCUGUUUUGAUCUCUUUUGGAAUAUCAUUGAGUAUUUUGUCAUCUUUGUAAGUAGCAGAAUAAUGAGCUUGUAGAUCUUCUUGUACAAACACACAACUCUGUCCAGGAUACAAUCCCCCCCCCCACCCCCCAGAGGUGUGGUUGUUUUUUUUUCCUUAUUUUGAUGUAUCCUAAUUAAGAAAGAAAAUGUGAUUAGUGAAGUCACAUAAUUCACUUGCCUGAUGUUAUUUUUCUGGAAUAAGUGGGUGUGGGGGAUAGAAAAAGCCAUCACUGCUAAAGAAAUAAUUUUUAACAUCUAGAUAAGUAAAACAUUAAAAUUGGAAAGUUAAAAUACUGUGCUUUUUGGUCCACUGGGGACACUGUGGCUUUGUUUGGAUAACCUUAUAGAGUUAUAGUCAGUCAUUUUGUGUGUCAUGCUACAUUUACCUGAACUUCCAAACACUUGUCUGAUCUAUGCCAUCAAGUAGGCUCUUUGUCCAUGGUUUAGCCUUCAUGUGGCUGCAGUAAGAUGUUUUUCCAUGGCUCUGUCCAGGAUACCAUUUUACCCCUAGAGGUAUGCUUUGGAAUUUUUCAUUUUGAUGUAUCCUAGUUAAAAAAGAAAUUGUGAUUAGUGAAGUCCCAUAAAUAAUUUGCCUGGUGUUAUUUUUCUGGAAAAAGUGGGUGGGGGGGAUAGGAAAAGUCAUCAUCAAUGGCGUAAUUUUCUGCAAUUAAAAAAGUUCAAAUACUGUGUCAGUGGUUGUGUUUCUUUCUUCCUUUCCAUUCAUCAGUAGGGAGAUGGGGGAGAGACAUGGAGUGGAUGGGUGGGAAAGACACAUGGAGGGGAUAGGGAAAGACACAUGGAGGGGAUUGGGGAGAGACACAUGGAAAGGAUGGGAGAGACAAAUGGAGAGGAACAUGUAGAGGAUGGAGAGAUUGUGAAGAGACACAUGGAACGAGGGAGUGGCAGAGACACAUGGAAAGGGUAUGGAGAUGGGGAGAGACAUGGAGUGGAUGGGUGGGAAAGACACGUGGAGGGGAUGGGGAAAGACACAUGGAGGGGAUGGGGGAGAGACACAUGGAGAGGAACAUGUAGAGGAUGGGGGGAUUGGGGAGAAACACAUGGAGGAGAUGGAGAGAGACAAGGGAAGAGACACAUUGGGAGGAUGGGGGAGAGACACGUGGAGGGGAUGGGGGUGAGGCAAAUGGAGGGGAUGGGAGAAACACAUGGACGGAAUGAGGGGGAGACACAUGGAGGGGAUGGAGGAGACAAAUGGAGGGAAUGAGGGUAAGACACAUGGAGAGUGUGAAUGACUGCCUGGCACCCUUACUGGAUUCCUCCGCCAAUCGCUGCUUCCUAGUGCUUACUGAGUACCACAAGUACCGCACCAGACACCAUCAACACCGAAGCCCAACUUCCAGCGUUUCAGCUUGUCCUCCACCCACCCUGGACCAAAGACCAGGAUCCAGCUUCCAGUGGGUAGACCUCUCCUCCAAGAGAGUGUAGCAAUAUGCUCUUAAAAGAGCAAGUGAUUUUAAUCCCAGGGGAGUAUAGUAAUAUAGCAAUCCCCAGAGUAAAAGCAGCUGUCACCUCCACACAUGAGACUAGGCUCUAUGUUGAGGGUGAAGAGGAACUGAUUUUAAUGGAACCGCAACCGGCCUUAUAUACAAGUCCCCAUGCAAGGGGCACUCCCCCCUGGAUCUGAGAGUAAACCACAGUAGAAACAAAUACACAAUCACAUUGGCUCUCAGAUCCAGGACACUCCCAUACAUAAUAGGUUAAUCCAUCCUCUGUACCUGGGAGAUAAUUGAGUCAAGCACUGCAUUAACAUAAUUAGCUCCAGACACAAAAACAGACCUUUUUAUAACAUAUUAAAAAUACCCCCAAAACACAUGGAAACCCCAAUAUAGUUAUAGUAAAAUACAUUCUAUAAUGAAAUUAGGUGACGUCUGGCAGGUCACAUUGUCAUAUUGCUGUAGUAACCUCCAAUAAUUUGUGACUUUGAGUUAAAGAAAUAAUUUAAGUUAUUAUCUUCAGUUCUUCUCUCAUUGGCUUCCUGCUCACACAAACAGCAUGUGCUGGAGGUAGGGUUCUGGUUCACUGAGGACAUUGUGGUUUUGCUUAGAUAACCUUAUAGCUUCCAAAUACUUGUCUGAUCUAUGCCAUCAAGCGGGCUCUUGGUCCAUGGUUUAGCCUUCAUGUAGCUGCAGUAAGAUGUUGUUUCAUGGCUUUGUCCAGGUGUGAGGAACUGACUCUGCUGGGUUUCGAACCCUGGUUUACAUGGUGCUAAACCUCUUCCUUACCAGUACACCAGCAUGCCUUUUGUAAGUUUACCUGAGAUCUGAUACCAUUGCUUGUAGAGUCAAGGUUAUCAGUGACAACUCUCUUCAGCUGUGUCUGAUCAGGUGUCUGGUUCUUGGCCUAUAAAAGCCACUUCCUGUCUCUGUACCUUUGCCAGAUUAUUGUGGUUCCUGUACUCUCUAAUCAAGCUUUUUCCUGUUUCUCCUACCUGUUGCUGAAUUUGGACUGUUUUGACUUUGCUGCUUCUCCUUCCCAUUGACCUCGGCUUGCCUCACUACGAUUAUCAUCUUUCUGUUCCAGUCUCCCAUCUCUGCUAAAGACCAGAAGGCCACUCAAGGCUCAGGGGCUCAACCACCUGGGUAACGAGUGGCUACCUCUGGCAGAAAACAUUGCUGAUCUGGCUACUGGACUCCAAAACUUUGUUACAUCAAUAUCAUUACACCAGGAUACCUGGAUACACCAGGAUACCAUUUUACGUAUGCUUUGGGGGUUUUCAUUUUGAUGUAUCCUAAUUAAAAAAAAAAAAUUGUGAUUAGUGAAGUCCCAUAAAUAAUUUGCCUGGUGUUAUUUUUCUGGAACAAGUGGGUGGGGGGAUAGGAAAAGUCAUUAUCAAGGGCGUCAGUUUCUGCAAUUAAAAUUGGAAACGUUCAAAUACUGUGUCAGUUGUUGUGUUUCUUUCUUCCAUUCCAUACAUCAGUCCAUCUUUUCACUUUUACUCUCUUCAUUAUCCAUGUGAGGUUCCCCGUACUUACCUUGGUGGUCCACCUGUCAGCUGCUCCGAUCAGCGCCUUGGACGCUGGACACUUUUUAUGACCGCAUCACGCAAACCGGCAUCAUGACGUCAGUCUAGCUAUAAGUAUAAGAGCUCAUCACACUCAUGUUUUGGGGGUGUGGUUAUGAUAUGGUGGUUUUCUUUGUGUCUGGUUGUCUCUGUUUUGUUUUGUCACAGCGGAAUACCUGGCCAGCGCAUGGGAAGGCAAGUGCCAAGUCGGAUUGGGGAGUCGCAGCAUGCUUGGGCUGAAGGCGAAAGGCAGGCUCCUUUGGACUCUGGUAAAAGAUUGUGAGACCUGUCUGAUGGAUGAAUCACCCCAUCAGCUGACAGUUGGUUUAACGCUGGUCAAAAUGUUCAAUAAAGCUGUGGCCGUUGCCCUUAUCCACUAUACAGGUGUUGUGUGUUUUAUUGGGCAACGGGUGGGUCGUGGGUCUGCAGUCAUGCCAUUCUGGCCAUGUGAUCAUGACAUCUUCACAAUCACAUUGCCGUGAGGGCCAGACUGGAUGCAGGAUCAACCUAGAUCAAUGUGGAUCACCGGUGCAGGAAAGUACAAUCUGCCAGGAAGGCUAAUGAUCAUUAGGGUAUACCAUGCCACACUAAUGAUGUUGAAGACCAUAUUGAGCAGGAUGUUAUGGUACGUCCUAACAGCAUUAAGGUGUUAAGCUAACAUUGUUUUGAUGCAUGUAGUGUCCAUUUAAUUCAUUCUCUGCAUUUCUUCUCUCAUUUUCUUCCUGCUUACACAGACAUUCAGUGUUAGAAGUAGGGUUAUGGCUCACUGAGGACAUUGUGGUUUUGUUAUAUAGUUCUGGCCAGUCAUUUUGUGUGUCGUGCUACAUUUACCUGAGCUGUUACACAAAUUUCCUCAGAGGUUGGCUUGAGACCUUUGCUCUUAGAUGCAGCCUAAUAAAGAAUGAAAACAUAAUUAGUAAAGUCACAGAAUCCACAGUCUGAGAUUAUGUUUCUGGAAUAAGUACACAUGGAGGGGAUAAUAAGAAAAGCCAUCAUUGCUGUGUAACCCUGUUUUAGACUCAAAAAAAUACUUCUGUAAUUUCCUUUGAUUUUGAUCAUUUUAAUCCCGAUAUUUCUCAUUCAUUGAUUUCAUAAUGAGCGUAGUGAAAAGUAAGGGAUGCUGUGCUAUUCGUAAAACUGAUGACCAAUACAGUCACAACUUUCAUUCUAAACCCUGUCACACUUAAUCCCCCAACGCCACAUAACUCUACAAUGAUACCUUCUUCAACUAUCCACUAACCUGUGCACCGAAGGCUGGAUCUCCGGCUGUGUUGUAUAUUCUUUUUCAGUAAUGACCCUCCUGGAUGGUGGUUGAAUUCCCCACAGCCGUGGGACCAGGGGGCCUGAUGUUCUGAAUUCUGAAACAGAAUGUCUGACUACAAGGUGUCUGUGGAAAUGACAAAAUUACUUUUUUCUCUGUAUGUAUGGAACACUACAGGGGGAAUAUAAAUUUCAAUUAUUGUCACAAAAUCAACUCACUUUCACAAGCUUUAUGUUUGAUUCAGUACACCAUAUUCCAAGCCAUCGCUGUAGACUUUAUUCUAGAUUUAGAGACCUACAUGCGCAUGUGCCAAGUGUCCCUAUUUAAGAGGAACAGUCUCUAUUUUAGGUCCCAAUCCCUCUGUCCCUCUUUUCUAUCCUAAUAUCCCUCCUUUCUAGGAGCUCCAUAUUGUUGGUGUGUCUGAGUGUAUAACAGAACUCCACAGCAAUAGUACUCCAGUAAUGUGUCUUUAUACUGCAAUAACUGCGUUUAGAAAUCCGUCUGUAAAUAAAACACAUUGUCCUUGUUCUAAAUUACAAUUUAGUUGUAUAAAUUGUUAUAGUAAGUCAACUAAAAUGUCUCAGAACAGCCCCGCCCCUGGCCACACCCUCACCCCUAAACUUAAAAUGUCCCUCUUUGAUCACGUGAAAUGUUGAAAGUUAUGUACCUGCAAUUUUCCCUUACAGAAACCAUUUUCUCAGUCAUGGCUGCCACAGUGGAUACAAACACAUUUGCUGUAAUGGCAUUUAAGUAGAGAAGGAAACCAAUGAAAUGUGAUGUGAAACAUAUUAAAUGACAUUCACAGUAAUGUAAAACGCUUACAGGUAUAUAGUGGGAUUAUUCACCAUCCAUAGGUAUUUGUAGGCUAAUAUAGAUUACCUUUGCACUAGUUAUUAUUUAUAUUUUGCUUUUGUCUCUGCCUCCCUUUGCUUCUACGGAUUUCUUCCAUCUACUUCUCUCUUGUAUGUAGGUGCACCCUCUGCUUUAUGGUGCAUUGAGAUAGCCAUUGGGACUUGUUUAGGUACCUUCUCCCCUGUAUACCUUUAAGAGUAGUGGAAUUAUUUCCCACCCAUAGGUAUCUGUAGGUGAAUAUAGCUAACCUUCAUAAUAGCUGUAAAUAUAAAUCUCCAUCACUUUUCCCCUACUUUAGUUCAGUGAGUGGUUAGGAAGGGGAACCAAUUACGGCUUUAGUCUUGUUACCUAAUAUUUCAGUUUCUAAGACUUCUACUAUAAUGUUUUGCUUUUCAUUUUGUCCACAAAUAGAUAAUAUACAAUCAUAAAUACAUCUUGUUUCACCGUGGGACGGCUUAAUGAAGUAUAUUUACAGAAUGAACAGGCUCUACUACAAUUAUGGGGGGGGGGGGAUUUGAAGAUUGUCAGCUAAAUGACUUCAUGGUCACAUGACCAACAGUAUGGUCAUGUGACCAUAAUGUAGAAACAUUAUAUACAAUAGACCAUGUUAAAAGUCACUUUUUAUGUAUAAGAUACCUAAAUAUGGUAAAGCAGAAAAGGCAUAAAUAAAAUUUGAAUUGUAUUAAUACAUUGAAAUAUAUGAUUUGAUUGACCGCAUGACACGCUAGUCAUGUGGUUGACUUGGAUCCUAUGUGAUUUGCUGCAACCUGUGGGAAUCGGCUGAUCCUGAAAGAGGUCUGCAGCCUGCUGACAAGCACCAGUUGUCUGGCUAUAAUAUGACUUGCGGGAAGGGGGGCACUCUUUGUCUAUAGACCUACCACUUAAAGGGACUCUCCAUUUGCAAAGCUGUUGUAUUCUGCAAACACAGAUUCAAAGGAAUCCAUGUUUAAAAUGGAAUGAUGAAAAAUGUGAUUCUUCGUUAAAAUAAUGUGCAUAUGCCCACCCAGAAUCAUCUUCAGUAGUAACAUCACUGCAAAUUUGUGAUUUCUGUGGGAAAAGCAAGUCUUAUGGCUUGACUGGUGUGCAGAUUUUUGUUUAAUAUUGUAUAAACUAUAUAUAUAUAUAUAUAUAUAUAUAUAUAUAUAUAUAUAUAAAACAUAAGUAGUAGGUCCAUAUUCCAUAAUAUUUCUAUAUACAACAUUGCUCAUUUUCAAAUAUGGCAAAGUAAGUCGUAACCAAAGGUCAUAUAACUAUUUCCAGUAGAACAAAACUGAUUAAAUAUAGCAACAAAAUCUUUGGGUACAAUCAAUAAAUUCAAGUCUAUGUUUAACAUCUGCUAUAUGGCAUUUUAAUGUUACACUAGCAUGGAUUUAGAGAAAUGUAUAAAACAUCAUAAGGAAGUAUGAAGCGAACAGAUGGUACAGUGAGACUAGAAGCUACACGUCCCAGUAGACUUCAAAAAAAGAGUAUACAUCAUCUUGCUAUUAGAAAGAGUAAAACUACCUUCAUUUCCUUUUGCUUAAAAAUAAAAGAUAAAAAAAAUCUAAAAAUACAUAAUGUAAUGUACAGCUGCACUAAUCUUUAUUUAUAUAGUUUAUUAUUUCCUUUUUAGAUUUGUUUUAAUCUUUUAUUUUUAAGUUAAAAAAAAAAAAAUUUCGGUUUCAACUAUUGUGGCAAUUAUUUGUAUUUGUACGCACCUAAUCUACAGCUUUUCAGAAAUUGUUGGUGAUUUAUAAAUAAUAAAAAUAUUGAAAAGUGCCAGGCACUAAAGUGCUAAACUGAAUACUGUCAAGAGUUCAAAGUGAAUUUCAAAUUUUACCCUGGAAACAUGAACUGAAAACAUUUUCAAACAUCGAGUUGAAAUUUUGGAUUUGAAAUUUACUUUGAAUUCCUGACAAUUCUUACUUUAGUAAAUAACCCUGUAUUUGUUUAUCAUAUUUGUCUUAGGUAAUAACAACUGUUGCGCAAGAUUAACAUUGUAAGAGUCGCUUGCUCAUGGUUAUUUUAACCAUAUGUGUUUAUUUAUAUGGUUUUAUUUACUUGCUAUUUCUCCCUCACCCUUAUAUUCCUACUCCCUUAAAUUUUAAUAUUCUGUUUUAAUUGUUUUAAUGUUUUUUCCUUAUAUGUUUGCAAGUUAAUCUUCCUAAAUAAUCUGAUAAUGCAGACCACUUUUAUGCAAAGUAUGCUGUUGCCAAACAGCUUAUGGCAGCACGUGACCCCUUGCGGCCUAUGUCUUCCCCUCAACCCGCCCACCAGUUCUUCACCAUUGUUGUAUAGUAGUGUCAAUGGAAAAACUUCAUGUAUGCUGGGAGAAUGGAACAGAGGUAAGCUUCUUCAACAGCAGACCUGAUAAGAUGCUAGGGAACACACACAAAAGAUCAUACAUGAGCCAUGACAAGGAAGACAUUUCCAUACUGAUAACUAUAUAGAGGGUUGGGCCUACAUUUGUGCUCAAGGAGAAAUGAUCGUAGACACGCUGGCAGUCCUUGAUUACCAAUUAAAGCUCACUGGAAAACUGCCAACAAAUAGUAUGCGAGCAGAGGUAAAUGAGGCAACCAAUCCCAGCUAACACCAUCCCAGAGACUAGCAAGCUCAUCAGCGCUUUAUAAAUACUACAACUAAUAAUAAUAAUAAUAAUAAUAAUCUAUAUCUCAGCAUUAGUUGUCCCCCAACAGCUUGACUGCAAGGUCAAGAUAAGAGAGAACUAACAUUGUCCACUAGGGAGACUAAGACUGGAAGCCAAGAUAAAGGAAACAUGUAAGGCAGUUAGUAGGUUUGAUUAAUUUCACAGAGGUGGAAAGAUUAAUGUUAGAUGAAAAUCUGAGGAAAUAUGCCCAUAUCAGAGACUCUGGAAACAUCUGAGCAGAUACAUCAGAGGAGAAGAAGCAAAUAUAUUAAGUAUCUUGGGUAAGAGAAUAUCCAAAGACCCACCCAGAGCUGAGAAAGAAGCACCACAUAACACCUAGGAUCAGGCAUGCUCCCAGAACAGGAACCAGUCACCACCAGAGUUGAACACAUCCAAUAACGAGUAUCCCACAUGUAGAGUUGAUCAGCUCCAGGAUCUGACAUGAUCCAUACCUACUGGAUAAAGAAACCAACAAUGCUACAUAAAUGAUCCAGCUACUAGCAACAGUGACUGGCUAACACUGCUGGUCAGGAAGGACCCUUACAAUGGAACUCCACCAUGUAACUACAGACCAAUUACCUGUCUCCCCACAGCAGUGAGGUUUUUUGUAAAGUUAUCAUAGCCUACAAGAUCAAUGGGCAUAUGAGAUAAUACAUUAGCAAUACAAAGAAGGGGCAGAGGCUCAAAACACAAGCUGCUGGUAGACCAAGCAGACACACAAGAUUCCAAGACCAGACAGACCAAUCUGUGCACAUUCUGGAUUGACUGCAAAAAAGCCUAUGAUACAAUGCACCAUACAUGGAUAUUGGAAUAAAAAGAGAAAGUUAGGAGAUAGAAGGUACAACCCUCUACCUAACCCUAUGGUAGAGCACUUAAAAAUUUAGUGGAAAUAACACACCCCUAUAGCAGCACCAAUAUAGAAUCAUUUUCUGGUGCUAGAUAUGGGAGGGAAGAGUACAGAUUGUGUAGUGUAUCAAAAAAGGGGGAAUAUGAGAAACAUAAAUUGGUCAAACUCACAAGUGAAGAGCCAAAAAGAGGACUGGCUCAGAUCACAUUCACCUUGGGGUUAUGGUGACACCAUCCCUCUUCUUUUCUUUGUAAGUGCACACAGGAGAAAACACUGAAGAAGAAAGAAACUUUGUGUAGCAUAUAGCAAAAUCCAGUGAAAUGGUGAUCACAAUAUGAACUGCUCACCUUGCUUAAAGCCACAGAAAGACCUGUCUCUAGGUGUAGAGGCUUGUAGCCCACUAAAGGGGUGCAAACCUUCUUUUCCAGAAUAGGUAGAAGGAAUAACCAGUAGGGCUUAUGCAUCCAAAAUAAAACAAUUUCUUAAACAAAAUAUAUAAAAAACAAAUAAAAUAUAUACUUGUCCAACAAUUGCAGUCUGGUUCUCUAAGAUGCGUUUCGCCUGGUCCAUUGGGCUUUUUCAAUUAGAGUUCCUUCUUCCUUGUUUACCUUUCCUUUUAAAUCACUAGCUUCAUCUUCAUGUUUUCCUACCUCCUGUUCUGCACCAAUUGCAAGUGCGGCUGAUGAUGUUGCUGAUCAUCCGGCUGAAUUCCAUUAUUGAGGUGGAAGUGACGUCUUUUCCGAUCAUGUCACUUCCGGCUUCUUCCAUAACCAUUUUUCUUAUGGGAAUAUUCCUUCCAAAGCAUGGUUGUGUUUAUCAUGGUACCGGAUUUCCUGUUUUGGCAAAUUUUUGUGUGGUCAUCUCCCAUAUUGCCGUUCUUUCAUAUUAAGAGAAAGUUCUGGAAUUAAGUCUCAUUUAAUGGGUCCAUGAUCGGUACCCAGAAGUAAUAUAUUACAUUUGGGGGUAUAUAUUAUGUGGAGAAACAUAACAGAAAAAAACAAAAGAAGAGAUUAAGACAUAUCAUCACAUAAAUAGAUUCCUACUGAGGAUAUGCUGAUCAGAUUUAUUGAAAAAAACAUAUGUAUUAUGUGCUCAAUAGGUAGAUAUAUAUAUAUAUAUAUAUAUAUAUAUACACACACACACACACACACACACACUAAAAGGAGAAAUUAAUAAAUACACAUAUUAAAAAGUAUAGAUGAAUUUUUAAAAAUCCAAUGGUUGUUAAAAUCAUUUGUUAAAUAAAAAUAAUAUUCUAUCUAAAAGCCACAUAUAUUUAAAACAUCACCCAAAACAUACAUAUCCUCAGUAAGGAGUAUAAAAAAUCCUAAAUGCAAGAUGUACAAAAUUCCAAACAGACCAAAAAUGUCUAUUCACCCCUAUUAUUUUAAAAAUAUAUAUAUUAUGAUCAAAUGUCAAAUAUUGUCCAAUGUAAGUUGUUUUUAAAACAUAUAAUAGGAAUUUCUCCUCUCAUUUUUGGGACAUCUUAUAAAUAGUCUUUAUAAAAAGUGAUAUAACUCAAAGUCGCUAUUUAAUCCAAAGGGUAGAAAGGAGUUUUGGUUAAAGAUCUAUCUCAUUUCAGCUUUACCCAUUGUUUGUGUUAUAUCCUCUCCUAUCCAAUUGGUGUUAACCCUUUGUAUUCCCCAAAAAAUGAAUCUGGCUAGGGUCAAUAUUAUGUUUUAUUUUAACCCCUUAAGGACUGGACUCUUUUUGCGAUGUUGUACAUUUGCGACCAGGCAUAUUUUUAUACUUUUGUGGUGUUUGUGUUUGGCUGUAAUUUUCCGCUCUCUCAUUUACUGUUCCCAUACAAAUUAUAUAUUGUUUUUUUCAGGACAAAAGGGGCUUUCUUUACAUACCAUUAUUUAUAUAAUCUCAUGUAUUUUAAUUUAAAAAAAAUAAAAAGAGUUUAAAAAUACCCAGUGUUUACGUGCUUUUUUUGCAUGUUAUAGGGCUAUAGGUACAAGUAGGAUAUUGCGGUUUCAAAACAUACAUUUUUAAAAUGUAUCAAUAGUGACACUGACACACUAUUAUCUGUCAUAAAUCUAUGAAUAAUACCCCACAUGUACAUAUUUUUUUUAAAGUAGACAACCCAGGGUAUUCAAUAUGGGGUAUGUCCAGUCUUUUUUAGUAGCCACUUAGUCGAAAACACUGGCCAAAGUAAGCAUUCAUAUUUGUUUGUGUGUGAAAAAAGUAAAAAAACUAAAUUGAACGCUAAUUUUGGCCAGUGUUUGUGACUAAGUGGUUACUAAAAAAAGACUGGACAUACCCCAUUUGCAAUACGUUGGGUUGUCUUCUUUUGCAAAUGGUAUGCCAUCAUGGGGGUAAUUCUCAUUCUACCAUACGCUCUCAAAGGCAACGUAACCAACCUGGACAUUUUCAAUGUAAAAAUAUUUGACCCAUAUAUUUGAUCCUGUAACUUUUAAAAAUGCUAUAAAACCUGUACAUGGGAGGUACUGAUUUACUCGGGGGACAUCGCUGAAUACAAAUAUUAGUUUUUAAAAACUGGAAAACGGGGGGGCGUGGCUAACUGCGCUACUGAGCGGACGCACACUUGAAGAGCUCCCGCUCCAGAGACCCAAAAUCUGAAUUUAAUUACCGCAACGGAGCUCAAAAUAUAACAUCUAGACAUCAGGAACACCCCUCCAAGAGAGAUGGGCAAAAAGCACCGAAAAACGAUCCCAGCAGAGGAUCAGAAACACACAGACAUCCGACUGUCCUUCUGUAGGCCGCCGCAGCGAGUGCGACCAGACAUGGCCCCUGCGGAGCCAUGCGGCUCGAGUGACUCCGAGCUCUCGUUGGAAGGGGAGAUAACACAAGCACCCCGGACCCACAGUGGAGUAUACCAGAGAGCAGACUCGGACUCCGAUAAGUCCCCAUCCACCAAGGGAGACAUAAAAAACCUCCUGCGCGACCUGAGAGAGGUGUGGAAGGCGGACCUCGCCGGGGUCCAGGAGGAAAUAGGAGGCCUGAACCGCCGCAUGGGAACAAUCGAGACCCGAGAAGGGGAGAGGGGAAAAAAAAUUGAUGACAUCGAUUCCCGGGUCACUGCUCUCACGAAUCAAGUGCAACACCUUACACGCACGGUGACCUCCCUAGAAACGCGCCACAGACGGAAAAAUCUCAGAAUCCGCGGGGCCCCAGAGACGAUAGGGCAGGGAGCCCUGCUAGCGUUUGCCAAUGAGGUCCUGCAAGCACUGGGAUUACAAACAGAAGCCGACCGACCACCACUAGUGUCAGCCUUCAGAGUCAGGAAGGCCCCCACAGCGCCCGCUGAUGCACCCCGCGACAUCAUAGCUGUCUCAAGAGACAUAUCAGUAAAAACAGCUGUCAUGGCGCGAUCUAGACAAAAGCCAAACCUGGUGAUCGCAAACAACAGGAUUUUGAUUUAUGAUGAUUUACCCUUUACAGUCCUCCUUGAACGGCGCAAGUUCAUGCCCCUCACCAGGACUCUGCGAGAUCACGGCAUUAAAUACCGAUGGGGGCUAUCCGGAACACUGGUGGUACAGCAGGGAGACGCAAUACAUACCCUGUCGGCCGCUGGAGACCAUGAGGAGUUCUGGAAGAGUCUCAACAUUCCAAUGGCGGCUCACAACAGGAGACCAGAAGCAGUGACCCCCAAUGCGAAGCAGAAACGAAGAAACGGAUCCACAGGAGACACGCACCCACUGGAGCGAGAAGACCCCCCAUAAAGAGACUCUCUUGUCCACACAACCUGCGGUAUCACCGGGGCUCCAGCAUUUUGCAGGGCCACAGCAGGCAACAAAAGACUAUCAGCAGGACCCAUAGAGGACUAACAGAGACAGCACAAACUUGUCAGCUAACCCAAUCCCUUUGUGUGUUUUUUUUUUUUUUUCUUUCUUCUUUCUCCGUGCAACCCUAAAACACAAGAGCCUCUACCGUGCCCUAUCAAUGGGCCGAUAUUGACUCCAAAUUUAUUUUAACCCCACAGUGGCCACUGACAGGCAUUGCCACCAUGUCUAACUUAACCACGCGAGAAACACUAACACACUCUGCCAAUAGGCUCAUGUUCAUCCCACCAGAGAUGUCAACCUAGGCUGUCGAGAUGCUUGCCUAACCCCACGUGAAUAGUAGGAGAGCCCUACCACAGUAAGCACUAAAUCUCCGUAAGCGUCACUAACGGCCCCACCUAGGCACACACCCUAACGGUACACAGGCUGCCCUACCAACAGGGACAUCCGGGCGGUUAAGAUUAAGCCCCCGCGGGUUAUUCUAGACUAAAGAUUUAUGCCCGGAUGAGCAGCCGAGACAUACUACCAAGGUCUUGAUAUCCGACGCACACGGGCCGUUACAGAACCUUAGCACAGGGCACACUUUAAGGAGACAACAGCAGCCAGAGUGAGACACCGACUCGGGAGCUACCUAUACACUCUUAUCACAUAUCCCACUCGACUUGCUGGGACGCCCAACCCAGAAUGAUGUACGCCGUAAAUAUACGCUAUUUUUAAAUCGUUUAAUUAUGAAACAGAUAGCGGGCCAUUCCACACUAUAGACACAUACCCACACGAGCGGACAACACGUUUUCCUAACGUUCCCACGCUUUAAUUCCAACCCACAAGGGCUGUUCAAGGGCUACAUUCCAGGUCCACUACAGCGGCUAGCAUGACAUACCGACUCGGGAGCUACCUACACAAUCCUCUUACACAUGCCACCUUCACCUAAGCUGAUGGGACGCUUAACCAAGAAAGAAACGUAUAUAUGUAGAUGUAUGAUAUAAAUGCAUGUUCUGUUUAAAUUGUUCGACUCUUAUCCAUCUGUAUACUGUUAUUGAAAUCGGUGGAAAUUUCCACAAAAAAUAAUAAAAAUAAAGAAUAAAAAAAAAAAAAAACUGGAAAACAUAUCACAACAAUUAUAUCAUCAGUAAAAGUGCUGUUUGUGUGUGAAAAAUGCAAAAAACGUCACUUUCACUGACAAUAUCAUCGCUGUGAUAUGUUUUACUGUUUUGAAUCACUAAUAUUUGUGUUCAGCAAAGUCUCCCGAGUAAAACAGUACUCCCCAUGUACAGGUUUUAGGGUGUCGUAGAACGUUACAGGGUAAAAUACAUUGCUUGCAAAUUAAAUUCUCUGGACUUUUGGCCUGGGUUGGCAGGCAGGUCCCUCAAAUUGCAAUCAAUAAAAUUACUUAAUUAUGUAAAAAUAUUACAUAAAUACGCACGUAGAAUUUAAAUAUAUAUGCAUAUUUAUAUAUUUGAAGUCUACGUGUAUAUUUAUAUAAUUAUUUAUGUAAUUUUUUAUAUGGACAUAUGUAUAUUUCGUAUUAUUUUUAUUUAUUUAUAUAUACAUAGAUAUAUAUAUACAAAUUCAUUUUAAGUGUAUUUUGAUAUAAAUAUAUAUAUAUUAAUUUUAAAAUACAGUUAGAAUAAAAUUUCAUAUAGAUAUAUAUUUUUUUCAAUUUUUAUUAUUUAAAAAAAAAAUUUUUAUUUAAAUUACUUAUUAUUUAUAUUUUAUAAUAUAUAUAUAUACAAUAUAUAUAUAUAUAUAGUUAUUAUAUAUAUUAUAUAUAUAUAUAUACACAUGUGUAAUUUAAUUAUAAGUGUAUUUUUAUAUUAAUAUAAGUACAUAUUAAUAUAGAAAUGCACUUAGUAUGACAUUAUAUAUAUGAUAUAUAGACAUUAUAUAUAUAUAUAUAUAUAUAUAUAUAUAUACAUAAUAUAUGUUUAUAUAUCAUAUUUAUAUACACAUAUAUAAUUUUUUAUUUUUUUUUAUUAACACUAACUUUUUAUUUAUUUUUUAUUUUACACUAGCAGGGAGACUGCCUGUGAGCACAGACAGUCCCCCUGCAGCGAUCACAUGGGAGAUCACAUGGCCACAGGGGUCCUAAUCCAGUGUGGGGAGACUGUCUGGGCUGCAGGCAGUCUCCCCACACCGGGAGCAACGCUGAUCACCGCUGAUCACCGCUGGGGGAACGAAGUAACUAGGACCCAUUACGGUCGGCAAUGGGAAAAUGCCAAUGACGGUCCUGAACCGUCCUCGGUCCUUAAGGGGUUAAAAUGAUAUGAUAAGCUAUGCUUUUCAAAUCCAUUUUUUUAUGUUCCGGAUAUGUUCUUGUAUCCUAACCUGUAGGCUUCUUGUUGUUUGUCCCACAUAUAUUAGUUCACAUGAACAUUCUAUAAUAUAGAUUACUCUAUUGGUAUGACAAGUAAUUAUAUCUUUUAUCGGUAAAGUAUCUUUAUCUUGUUUUGGGUGAGUACAUUUUUCCAAAAAUCUUUUUUUAUUUUUCAUAUUUGUGUAAGCACCACAUUUACCACAUCGAUAAAAACCUGCUUUAUUCUCCAAAAUAAUUUGGAUUGGUAUUAGGUUUAAGUGGCUAUGUACUAAAUAGUUUUUUCUUUUUAGACGUUUUUUACGGAAGUAUGGAAUUAAGAUUAGCAUGUCUUUUUUUAAAUUAGCCAAUAUUUAUUAAAAAUCUUUUUAACCCCUUAAGGACCGAGGACGGUUCAGGACCGUCAUCGGCAUUUUUGCCUUGCCGACCGAUGACGGUCCUGAACCGUCCUAACGGUCUGGGGGUACUUACCUGAUCGCCGUCGUUCCCCCGGCGGCGAUCAGUGUUCCUCCGGUUGUGGGGAGACUGCCUGCAGCCUAGACAGUCUCCCCAUGGCAGAUUAGGACCCCUGUGGCCAUGUGAUGCGGCAACACAGCGAUCACAUGUAGUCUAAUAAAUGUCAAUAUUGUCUGCCUGCAGGGGACUGUCUGUGCUACAGGCAGUCUCCUGCUUAAUGUAAAUCAGAAAAAAAUAAAUAAGUUGAGUGUUAAUUAAAAAAAAAUAAUUAUAUAUGUGUGUACAUAUAUGAUAUAUAGACAUAUAUUAUAUCUAUAUAAUAUAAUGUAUAUAUCAUAUAUAUAUAAUGCCAUACUAAGUGUAUUUUUAUAUUAAUAUGUACUUAUAUUAAUAUAAAAAUACACUUAUAAAUAAAUUACACACGUAUAUAUAUAAUAUAUAUAAUAACUAUAUAUAUUGUAUAUAUAUAUUAUUAUAAAAUAUAAAUAAUAAGUAAUUUAAAUUAAAUAAAAAAUUUUUAAAUAAUAAAAAUUUUUAAAAAAAUUAUAUAGCUAUAUGAAAUUUUAUUCUAACUGUAUUUUAAAAUUAAUAUAUAUAUAUAUUUAUAUCAAAAUACACUUAGAAUGAAUUUGUAUAUAUAUCUAUGUAUAUAAAAAUAAAUAAAAAUAAUAAGAAAUAUGCAUACGUCCAUAUACAAAAUUACAUAAAUAAUUAUAUAAAUAUACACGUAGACUUCAAAUAUAUAAAUAUGCAUAUAUAUUUAAAUUCUACGUGCGUAUUUAUGUAAUAUUUUUACAUAAUUCAGUAAUUUAUUGAUUGCAAUUUGAGGGACCUGCCUGCCAACCCAGGCCGAAAUUCCAGAGAAUUUAAUUUGUUAGCACUGUAUUUUACCCUGUAACGUUCUACGACACCCUAAAACCUGUACAUGGGGGGUACUGUUUUACUCGGGAGACUUCACUGAACACAAAUAUUAGUGAUUCACAACAGUAAAACAUAUCACAGUGAUGAUAUUGUCAGUGAAAGUUACUUUUUUUGCAUUUUUCACACACAAACAGCACUUUUACUGAUGAUAUAAUUGUUGCGAUACGUUUUCCAGUUUUAAACACUAAUAUUUGUGUUCAGCGAUGUCUCCCGAGUAAAACAGUACCCCCCAUGUACAGGUUUUAUAGCAUUUUUGAAAGUUACAAGGUCAAAUAUAUGGGUCAAAUAUUUUACAUUGAAAAUGGCCAGGUUGGUUACGUUGCCUUUGAGAGCGUAUGGUAGCCCAGGAAUGAGAAUUACCCCAUGAUGGCAUACNNNNNNNNNNNNNNNNNNNNNNNNNNNNNNNNNNNNNNNNNNNNNNNNNNNNNNNNNNNNNNNNNNNNNNNNNNNNNNNNNNNNNNNNNNNNNNNNNNNNUGCAAGUUCUGUUUAAUUUAGAUUUUCUUAUCCCCUGCUAUGUUAAUAGCUUGCUAGACCCUGCAAGAGCCUCCUGUAUGUGAUUAAAGUUCAAUUUUGAGAUUGAGAUACAAUUUUUUAAGGUAAAUUACAUGUUUGAAAGUGAAACCAGUUUUUUUUUUCAUGCAGGCUCUGUCAAUCAUAGCCAGGGGAGGUGUGGCUGGGGCUGCAUAAACAGAAACAAAGUGAUUUGACUCCUAAAUGACAGUGAAUUGAGCAGUGCAAUUGCAGGGAAAUGAUCUAU